UGAUAUCUAGAACGGAGGAUUAUAUGAUCACUUAUCUUAAAUGGCGUACCAUCAUCUUCUCAGUUCCGAGAGACCUUGAAAGAGCUACGAUUGCCGGUCGGUUCCUGAAGUACUAGAGAUAUAGUUAUUAGACUUAUCCAAGUGGGAGACUGUUGGAUAAGGUGUCUAAGUCCAUAACUAUUUCGGGCUUGUACUUGACCCGACCCGGCAUGGUCCAUUUGGGUUGCAUGGCACCAUGCAAUUGGAUAGACUAAAUGAGAGAAAUAACACUUGGAGAUUAUUAAUAUAUUAUAAGUUCUAAUAUAUUAAUAAUAUUAUUUGAUUAGUUGAUCAAAGAAUUAAUUUGGAAUUAAUUAAGUGAUCAAAGGAUAACUAAUUAAAUAUAUGGGUUGAUUAUGUAAAUCAUCCAUAUCUUGUAUAGUGGGCUAAGAGGCUCCAUGGAUUAUCAAGUUGGGUUCUACCCAUAGGAUGCUCCAUGGAUGCUCCAUGGGAGUUACAAACCCAUGGGUCAUGGAAAUGAAGAGUCAUGACACAUUAGGGUUUACAUGGUGUAACCCUAGAUGUGUCAACACUAUAUAAGAAUCCCAUUCUCCACCAAAAUCGGUGACACAUAAGAAACUAGAGGGCUAGGCCGAUUUCAAGAAGUGUGUAUUCUCUCAAAAGUCUUUCCAAGAGCAUUUGGUGUUGUGUGAAGCAUUUGAGGCAUCACACUUGGGGUGCUAGGCUCACAAGGUUUCAAGGAACAUAAGCAACAACAAGGUAAGUUAUUCUAUCUUUCAUUCAAGCUAAAAAUUGUUCCCCAUGUAUGCUAGAUAGGAAUAUAACCUUGGAAUUCAACUUUGCAUGAUAAUUAGACAAACAUAGAUCCAAGGUUAUUAGGGUUGCAUGUACACUUAGGAAGUGUUAGAAUGCUCAAAACCCAUCACAAAUGACUUCACUUUGUGGAAGGUGAAGAUGAGGGCUCUUUUGGUUUAACAAGGAUGUGCAAUGGCAUAGGAAGGAGAGGCAAAAUUGAUAAAGGACAUUGCGGCUUAUAAGAAGGUGGACAUUCUGACAAAGGCACAUAGUGCAAUUCUAUUGAGUUUGAUAGAUGUAGUACUAAGGGAGGUCGUAGAACAAACAACUACUAUUGGGCUUUGGGAUAAACUUUAUGACAAGUACUAGAACAACCCACUGACGAACAAGUUGUAUCAGAGGCAAAGGUUCUAAACUCUAAGAAUAUCAGAAAUUACCCAAGUGAACGAUCAUCUAGAUAAGUUCAAUCACAUCAUCUUGGAUCUACAAUGGGUUGAUGUGAAGAUUGAAGAUGAUGUUCAGAUGCUCAUUCUUUUAUGUUCUCUUUCGAACUCAUAUCAGAAUUUUGUUGAUACCACGCUCUAUGGUUGGACAACGGUCACUAUGAAUGAUGUGAAUGAUUUUAUGAUGUCCAAAGAACUAAAAAGAAAAGUUUCAGUUGGAGAAAAGGUGUCUUGUUCCGACUUAUUUGCACGGAGAGGAAGGGCAGAAGAGAGGAAAGGGGGAAAUAGAGGGAGAUCACAUUCAAAAUUGAAGUCCAAAGGUUCAUCAAAUGCAAAAUGUUAUAAUUGUAAGGAGAAGGGGCACUUCAAGCGAAAUAACACUGUUGUUGUGGUUCAAGAAAGUUUUGAUGAAGGGGACAAUGGUCAUGUACUGAUUGUAAGUACAUCUAGCUCUACAGAUGCUUGGGUCUUGUAUUCUAGAGUAUCUUAUCACAUGACGUAUAACCAUGACUGGUUCGACUCCUUUAAAGAGUAAGAUGGCACAGUAAAGAUGGGUGAUAACUGGGUGAGCAGUAUCAAGGGUAGUGGCACGACGUAUAUCAAGAUGCACAACGACAUGGUCAGGAAGUUAGAUUCCUCGUACGUUUCGAAACUUCGAAAGAAUUUAAUCCCUCUUGGCACAUUAGCUAAGAAUGGGAUGAGGUACACGGGUGAAAGUGACUGGGUGAAAGUGACCAAAGGUUCUCUAUUUAUAAUGAAAGGAAGAUGAAUCGUGGAAGGAUUUAUAUCCCAGAAGGAAGUACGAUUUUGGGAACGAUGGCUAUCUCUUAAUCCUUAUAUGAAGGCGAUGACAAGAAAAAGUUGUGGCAUCAUAGGUUGGGACACAUGAGUGAGAAGAGCAUGUCAGUUCUACAGAAACAAGGAUUAUUGGUAGAAGAGAGGCUAUUGGAAAGAUAAAAUUUUGUGAAGCUUGUUUCAAGGGAAAGAAUCUCAAAGUGAAGUUCGAUACCAAUCAACACACAAGCAAAGAAAUCCUGGAAUAUUUUCACUUAGAUAUGUGGGGUCCUACACUUGUGAAGUCUCAAGGAUGAUGCUCAGACUUUGUGAAAUUCAUUUAUGAUUAUUCAAGGAAGGUUUGGUUGUACUUUAUGAAGACCAAAUAUGAGGUGUUUGAGAAGUUCAAUGAGUGGAAGACCAUGAUUGAGAAAAGGAAUGGAAAACAGGUCAAGACUAUGAGGACUGACAAUGGGUUGGAGUUCUGCAAUGCUCCAUUUGAUAACUUCUACAUGGAAGAAGAUAUAGUGAGGCAAGACAUUGUAUGACAUACACCACAAAAAAAUGGAGUAGCAGAACGGAUGAACCAAACACUCUUGUAGAGUGAAAGGUACAUACGACUAUUCGCUAACUUAUCCAAGCAAUUUUAGGCUGAAGCAGUUAACACUGCUUGCUAUCUGGUGAACAGAUCACCAGUUGACGACUCCCCAAGAGGUAUGGUUCGAGAAACCCUUUGACUAUUUUGGUUUACGUAUAUUUGGAUACCCCACAUAUGCUGAUGUGAAUGAUAGUAAACUUGAGCCAGGGGAAAUGAAGUGCAUAUUCCUAGGAUAUGCGACAGGAGUAAAAGGUUAUCGAUAUGGUGUACAGAAGAAGGAAGAGCUCCUAAAUUCAUCAUGAGUAGAGAUGUAACCAUUGAUUAAUCUGCCAUGGGUAACCAGGGAGGAGGUGAUACAAGUCAAGCAGGGAAUAAAGAUCUGGGGUGCUAACCAGAAGGUGCAGUUUGCGUCUCAAACUCUACACAGAGUUGUGAUAAGUGACGAAGAUCAAUGUUGUAGUAAAUAGCCUGGACAUGAUGAAACCCAAAAACACCCAUGGGAUCUUCGUCUAGUGGAGAUGAUGUUACGAAGGAUGAUAGGUCUGAAUCUAUAGCAAGCAUGAGAUCAAAGAGGGUUAUUCAAUACCUGCUAGAAAUGUGGGAUGUGUCAAUUCUGGUGACCUAGAUGAUGGGUUUUAUAUGUUACAAAUAUUUUAUUUUAGCAUAAAAAACAUAAAACCUAAGUUCACAUUCACCCUAAAGGAUCUAUGUUCUCACUAUGAUUUGAAAACAACUAUUGAAUAUCAAGAACACUAAAGUACAUUGCUAUUUUCAAAAUCCACAAAAUGGGUAUAAAAAAAUCAUGCCUGAAGCUUAUUAUAGCAAAUAAACUAAUAUUCCUUCUUUGUUGGUCUUCAAAAAGCAAGUACAAGGAGUCUCGUGCCUCUAAUGGCUCACACCCAAACCCUAGCAAGUGGGAGGCUUAAGUGGAGAGAGGAGGAGGAAGGAAUUUUCGAAUUCUCUUUUUGGAGUGAAGUGAUUUCAAAUAUCAUAACCCAAGGUUGUUUAUAUAGGUGAUAGGGAGGCUAAGGAUAAGGUAAAUUCCUUUUAGACAACCCUAAUCAUUUUGCUUUCCCCUAAGGCAUCUCAAGUUUCCUUAGAGCCUAAGAAAAUCUCUAUAAACCAUCUAGAAGUCCUCUAGAACCAUCCCCUCUAUGGGAGCUUCUAGAAUUGGUCAAUGUUCUACUUUUGAACAUGUCACCUUUAGUCCUUCCACUUUUAAUUAACCCAAUUAAUCCCAAAAUUAAUUCUAAUUAAUUUAUUGUUAAUUUAUAAUUAAACAAUACUAUUUAUAACUAAUAUAUUAUUCUCAUAAUAUAUUAAUAAAUUAUUUAUUUUGAUUUCUAAUUAACUUAGUAACUAUAUAUUAAAAUAAUAAAUCAGUCUCUCUAUCCAAAAAGCAUUCUAGUCAAUUACUAGGUUUGAGGGCAACCGAAAAUGACUUUGCUAAUAUUUUUAAAGAUUACACUAAUUUAGUUACUUUCUUAGACAACUAAUCCAACACUUGAAUCAAUUUCUUUUGCUUUAGAAACUGGAGAAGACAUUGACACUGAGGAUGCUCAAUCGUAUAAAGAGGUGUUGGAACCUGAAAGUGAACCUCUAUGCAUUAAUUAUUCUUGUCUUUUAGCUUGAUGUAACAGUUCAUAGGACUUAGUUUAUUUUGUCAAAUGGAUAAUCAUAGUGUCAGAAGUAACUCUUUUGUCCGGUCCUGUGUAUGUGUUUGAGUUUGUACAAUAUACUCCUUUCUCCUAUUGAAGGAAUGUUUAAUGUCAAGAACAUAAGACAUAUUGUUCCUCCAAAGAUAGCUAUAUAUUUGAAUUUACUUCACUUGCAUCUUUCUCUUAAAUCAAACUAUUGCAAACAUUCUACUUGUUCAUUUACUGUCUUUACUUCGAUUAUUCUCAUUACUCCAUAUUUAAUACUUGAAGUACUUUGUUGAUUCCCAUCUUCAGUCUUGAGUGGUCUUGCCAGACUUGACUGGAACUUAUAAUUAGAAGCAGACAUUUAUCUUAAGCAAUAAAUCAAGAUUUGAGUAUUUGAGCCUUGUCCCUGGGCAAUCAGAUCCUUGUUCUCAAAAUUGGUAUCAGAGUUUGAGUGGUUGUCCUUUGAAUCCAUAAGAACAGAUUAUACUUGAUUCAAGAUUACCUUGGUAUUUCGAUCAUUUUUGUGUUCAGCAUAAAAGUUCUUUUAUAUACCACUUUUCCUUAAGAUAUCUUAACUUCAAUGGCUGCUUCUACUUCUCAACAAAUGUACUCAAUGCAAAUAAAAAUAGCAAAUAGCAUGGGUUGCCCGACAUGUGCCCCACUGCUAGUUGCUGAAGAGUAUGAUCACUAGAAAUUCAGAAUGGAAAGAUUUUUACUUGUAAAAGAAAAUGGUGAAUCUAUCUAGAGAUCCGUUAAAGAAGGUCCUCAUGUUCUAGUUCGAACCAUUGUUAAAGAUGUUGCUGCAAUUCUCAUGGGACAGGAUGAACAACGUCAAACACCUCUCACUACUGAUGAUCUUGAAAAACUGCAUGCAAAUCAAUUUGCCUUUUCCAAAAUGGUGUUUGGUGUUCCAACUUCUCUCUUUGAGCACAUCAAACUGUGCAAAUCUAUGAAAUAGAUUUGGGACACACUUCAAGAUUUGUUCGAAGGGUCAGAGAACAUGAAGGAUAAGCGUCUAACCUUGGUUUUCAAUGAGUUUGACACCUUGACUACAACACCUAGUGAAUCUGUUGCCUCAGCCUUAAAAAAGAUACUGAAUCGUCGUUAACAACAAGAAAGCUCAUAGGAUAGUCCGAACCCCACUUGAAUACAAACUCAAGUUCUAUAACAGCCUCGAAAAGGGAUGGAGAAAUGUGAAAUCAUGUCUUCAGAGUAAUGGAUCCCUGAAAAAGCUGAAGCUCUACCAACUUUUUGAUGAGCGUCAAGGCGAUGAAUCAAAUGUUGCACAAACUCUACGAGAACUCACUGGAGGUCCUCUAGCUCUAGUCAGUUCCUACAACCCAAUAAGUUCGAACCCUGCUGUUUCGGACCCUCUCUAAGCUAUUGUUCCAUACAUCCCUCUUGUUCAACCCUUACAUCUAACCAUGCCUGCUCCCACCAAUAACAACUAUCAAUUAGCUAGUGACCUUAAUACUGAAGAUAUAGAAUCCGAACUCUGUUUUCAAUAGGAGUUUGCCUUACUUUCCAUGAAAUACAAUCGUCCCUAUAACAAGUCAUAUCACAACUGUUUUCAUGAUCCUCACCAAAAUAAUCCUUAACCCUUCAACAAACUUUCAGAAAACCCACCAUCCUACAAACCUAACCUCCUACACCAAAUAACACCUCAGAAUCAUCACAGACUAUGAAGUCGGAAAAACCCAAGAUUGUAUGUCACAAAUGUGGUCAUGCAAAUCCCUUUGCCAAAGAUUGCUUAGCCGAAGUCCCAUAGAAACCUAAUAUAAAGGAAUCUGCUUACUAAGCAUAUCGAGCUCAAGAAAUGGUAGAAAUUGAAAAGACUUUUGUUACCAUGGUAUCAAGGGAUUUGGUAGGAUAUUUGUCUUCUAGAGAUGAUAAUGAAAUAACCACUGGCAAAAACAUGUGUGUUAUGUCUUAACAAGAAAUUGAAUGUGAUGAAGGCUACUAGUUUUCCGGGUCAGAGAGAGAUGAAGAAGAUGCUGAACCAAACUACUACUACAAGGCUACCAAUGAUCCUCCUGGUAAAAGCAUCGUUCAACAAGUAACAUCUACGAUUACUAAUAAUAAUUUUGACUUAUCUCUUUGUGAACCAUAUCUAACCCAAAUCCAAUCAGAUAUGGACAUCAUUUACAAAGCCUAUGAGUCAUCCAUAGAAGCCAAUGAGAAGAAGGAAAGUGAAUUAAGACGUCUUAGAUUACGCUUUGAGGAUAAGGAGUUGAAAAUAGUGUCCUUAAAACGAGAGCUUGUAAUGUCACAAGAUGAAUGUAUCAUUCUUAAAGACAAAUGUGAAAUCACUUAUUCUGAAAGAAAUGUUUUAAUUUCUGACAACAAACAUAUCAAUACUAAAAUAGAUGCUUUUCAUAAAUCCAUUAACAUUCUUGAAGCAAAUGAACGGAUGACUCAUAAUUUUCUUCAUCCUUGGUCAAAAAGCUCCUGGUCUCAAAAACGAGUUUUUGAAACCUAUUGCUCGUUCCUUGAAGGAGUUACAAAACCUAACUUUUUUAGGAGACGUUCCGAACAUUAAACAUUCGGACCAACCAGUCUCACCUUUGUCACCCAUCCUGAGACUUCUAACCAAUUUUCAUCACUAAUUCCUGAGUUUAAGCCUAUAGUUGUCAAGUGUCCCAAUUCCACACCUCUCCCGCCUCUAAUAAACCUGGACAUGAAUCGGACACGGAAUCCUAGUCUAGUAUUUCAAAUCCUAUCUUUCAAAUUCCGAACCACAACCCUCCUAACAACUGUGUUGUUGAGGAAAUUUUUCCGGAGACAACUGGACCAGAAUUCUUUGAGUGUGUUUGGGCAUCUUUAGAUAGUUUCAUCGAUGAUUCGUCAAUUUCAUGUGAUUCUGAACCCCAAGUGAUUUACAAAACUUCUAAAUCUUCGAUUUAUUACAAAAGGAAGUCCAUGUUGAAUAGGAAAGAUGAUGUUGAGCCUAAGGUAGAAGCUCAGAAUGCUCACAAAAAGGAAGUUAAGUCGAGACAAAAUUCUAGAUUCCUCGAGAACUCCAAAAUGAGUGUAUCUUGGACUGUCAACCCUCCAACAAAUAGUCACAACACUUUUCCACCUACUAAAAUUCUCAAAAGGCCAUCUAAUCCUCCCAAUCCCGUAGAAAAAAGAAAGCCGUCAGUCCUACCACGAAAAAGUCCCUUUUCGAUACUCAAACCGUUCGAACUAAAUCUCCUCGGACUGUUUCAUAUGUUUUCAUAGGCAAAUCUAAUGGUACAAUUUUGAAACCACAACAACUUUCAAAACCAAAUAUAUCAUCUACCAAAGAACAAGUUUUAAAUAAAACAGUUUCACAAAAAUCUUCAAAACAAAAUCUUGUAUGGAAAGUAAAAAAUCACAAAAAUGAAACAGUGACUCUGAGAGACACACUGUUUCCCACUGCUCCAAAAGUUGAGUGAGAAUAGUUGUUCUGAACCCUUGUAUCACUGAGUAUGAUUAUUGGAUAAAUUAAAGAAGCAUGGCCUUCUGUUUGUUUCCUAUGAAAUCUCGGAACAAACCUUCCAAAACACUUAUUGCUCAAAAGUCACAACUGAAGCCUAAGAGUCGUGCCUUUGUCCCAAAACCUAAUUCGGAGCCUAGAAACUCGAAAAAUCACUAAUUUUGUAGGCACUCUAUGCUUCAGAGCAAGAAACAAUAUUGAUAGUGCUUGCUCCAUGCACAUCACUGGGAACAAGAACUUUCUGGGAGAUCUCAAACUUUCACCAAGUGUUGGCAAUGUGACGUAUGGAAACAACUCCAACUCUCAGAUUCGAGGUUAUGACAUCCUUACAAAUGGAAAAUUCUCCAUUCAAACAUAGCAUAUGUAGCUGUCUUGAAACAUAAUUUGAUAAGUGUGCUUCAACUCACUGAUGCGAAUCGACGAGUUGAAUUCUACAAGAAACACAACUAUGUCUAGUCAGAUGACCGGAAGGAAUGUUUAAUCAAAUCAAACCGCAACAAGAACAUGUAUCCUCUUGACAUCAACAUGAUCAUUGGCAAGCCCCAGCUCUGCUUACUUUCAAAAUCUGUUCCCGACAUUAGUUGGUUGUGGCAUAUGAGGCUUGCUUAUCUGAACUUUAGAUAUAUGAAUGAUCUUGUUUCCGGUGAGAUGGUAAGAUGUUUUCCACUUCUCAAAUUCGAAAAUGAUCAUUUGUGAGCUGCAUGUGAGUGUGGAAAGUAGUCAAAGAAGGUUCAUCCCAUCAGAAUUUAAAGAUCUAUCUCGGAGCCAUUAGAACUUCUGCACAUUGAUCUGUGCGGACCCUCAACAGUAGAGAGUUUGCAUAAGAAAAAAUACAUUCUUGUGAUUGUGGAUGACUUUACUAGGUUCACCUAGGUCUUUUUCCUAAGGCUCAAGUCAGAAAUAGCAUUCGAACUCAUUAGAUUUAUCAAAGAAAUUGAAGUUCUCAUCAAACUCCCAGUAAGGAGAAUCCGAAGUGACAAUGGUUCAGAAUUCACAAAUUCCACCGUUGAGAACUUUCUCACCGAGAAGGGUAUUGACCACAACUUUUCUGCUCCAUACACCCCACAACAAAACGGUGUAGUCGAACGUCACAACAGAACACUUGUCGAAGCUGCUUGAUCCAUGCUCAACUUUGUAAAUCUUCCACUCUAUCUUUGGGUUGAAGCUGUCUCAACUACAUGCUUUACUUAGAAGCCAAGUAUCUCUUUUCUUCACAUUUUUGGAUGUAGAUGCUUCAUCAAGAACAAUCGUGACCUACUUACAAAAUUCCAACCCAAAGCUGAUGAAGCUAUCUUUCUUGGAUUCUAUGAUAAAUCAAAGGCUUGUCGAGUUCUUAAUCGGCGAACUUGUGUUCUAGAAGAAACCUUUGAUGUUACCUUUGAUUACAAUUUCGUUCAGAAUUUUGGACCAACCCAUGUUACAACUCAUAUCAUGGAGUCCGAUGCUCCAGCACUUGGAUGUCCGAACCAUCAAACAAUAUAUGAAGUCGACUUUUAAACCCUAUUCGGACCCUCAUAAAUAGCUCUUAAUUCGGAAUCUCGAACAAGACAAACCUCAUCAACCGAAGCUCCGAUUUCCAAAAAUGUUUCUGGAUCGACACUUAGUUUUCCUCCAUUUGAUUCCGAACCGUUUCAACCUUCUCAGGUUGAGGGGGAGAAUGGUCAACCUUCCCUUGAAUCAAAUGUGGAUGGAUUCCAUCAUGCAAUUGCUGAAUUCGAUUCCAAUCCUAUCAACAACCAUGAUGAUGCAAACUUCUUCGAUUUCCCACCUGAUGAUGAUGUCAACCUAUCUGGUUCAGAAGUUCAGGGGGAGCGUCAGCCACAAGUUCAAACUAUUCAAGGGGAGCAACACAACUAGAUUCUUGAUAUAGGAUCAUCUACUGGACAAGAGCUUCCUAUACUACAUGUUUCGACUAAGUAUCAGCCUCCGAUCCAAGUUAUUAGAAAUGUAGACGUUGGUGUACAAACUUGUUCUGCUACAAGUGUUCAAAAUGAAUGUCAUUUCUAUUGGGUUUUGAGCAUUCUAACACUCCUAUGGUGUACAUGCAACCCUAUAAACCUUGGAUCUAUGUUUUCUCUAUUAUACACGCAAAUAAGAACUUUCCAAGGCUUCAAUCCUAUCUAGCAUAAUAUGAGGCAACUAUACUACAAAGACUAGUUAGAUUACAUACCUUUUGGUGUAGCUUGAUGUCUUCAAGCUUUAAGAGAUUAGCCCCAAUGGUGUGGAAGCCUCAAGUGGAAUCACAAAUCACCAACACACCUUGGAAGACUUAGAGAAUGAGAAUACUUUUGGUUCUCUCUAGUGAAAUCAGCUAGCCCCUUAGUGUGUCCACACUAGCGCCAAUUUCACCAACCAAGGACAUCUUUAUAUAGUAUGGAGACUAGGGUUAAACCCAUGAGCUUUCAUUUCAUAUGAUCCAUAGGUUAAACACUCCAUGGACUAUCCAUGAAAGCUUAGCCCACCCUAAAUGAACUUGGCCCAUUCCAUAUAUAUAAGAGUCCAUAUUUAAUGAGUUCAUUUUGAUCACUUAACUAAUUCUAAAUUAAGUCUUGAUCAAUACUAUUUAAAUAAUAUGAUUCCAUAUUAAUAUAUUAGACCUUAUAAUAUAUUAAUAUAAAUCAUAAAUAUAGUAUUCUCAAAAAACUAUCCAUAUAAAUUGUGUCGGUGAAAUGCAACCCAAAUGGACCAUGCCGGGUCGGGUCAAGUACGUACCAAAUAUAGUUAUGGACUUAGACAUUAAUCCAACAGUCUCCCACUUGGAUAAGUCUAAGACUAUUAUUGAGUAUGACUUCAAAACCUAAUUGGCAAUCGUAGCUCUUAAAGCCGCUAUCGAGCUCUGAUCUUGUCAAUGAACUAUGACCUUUGUCAGUGACUUGUUCAUUAGAUAAGGGAUCAUAUAUUCCUCCAUUCUAGAUAUCAUAUGGACUGAGACAUGGGUUAAAAUCAUUCUCUCUGUCCAUUUUUUGUUUCCCGAUUUCCGAUCCAUGAUGAUUGACUAAUUGAACAGAUCAAAUCAGUCCUGGCUUGGCCAAGCACUCACAUGUAUCAUCAUUAAAUCACCGAGGGGCCCACAAAUAUCGCUUUUAUCCCGAAGGUAAAAGGAAUGGAUAAACUUCGACUCAUAUGGCUUGUUCUACUACUUGUUGAAUCAUACACAAAGGAACGUUUUAUAACAUCGAGUUACCAAUGCGUUUUCGUGCAAUCAAUGUACUAUCAACUCAUAGUAACAACUUAUAUCUCUAGGUUUGAAGAAUAUAAGAUAUUAUCGUCUCAUGAUCACUCGUGAUAAAAUCCAUGAAGUGAUUCCAAUGAGCGCGGGUUGAAUCCAAUACUCAGAACUUAUGAGCACUCAUGAGUGUUGUAGCCCUUUGUCCAACACCUUAGACCUCUACAAGCCAACCCAUGACAGUCUUAAUUCAUAUCUACUUCCAACAUAUGACCGACUGUGGAUGGUUUGAAUAACUUAGUCAUUCCGGAAGAAUAACCUAGUUUAUUCGGGAAGUCAAAACAUGCAAAGUGAAACACAAUAAUAAUUGAAUCCAAUAUGGUAUCAAAACCUAUGAACAUAAAUAAAACACCUUUUAUUUAUCACCAUAUGAUUACACAUUAUUCAUUGUAUACUGUUUCAGCUAUCAACUUUAUUCUUGAAUUUAAAACAAUAGUUGUCCCAUGCUCCAAGCAUGUACACUAUGUUUUCUAAACACUAGUCAUGCCACACACCAAGUAUGCAUACUAUGUUUGUCUAUGAUCUUUACUUUGUGAACUAGAUCAAUUGAACAUAACUUCAAUGAUUCUCUUUUCACACUCCCAAAUCCUUACUGCAAAUGCAAGAAUUCCAAAUUCAUGCCAUUUACUGAAAUCUGUUAGAUUCUAAACUUAUAUGCAUUGAUCCUCUUGUAAUGAUUAUGCACAAAGUCAUAAAGACUUGACAACAAACAUUACAGAGCAUUCCAUGGAGAUCAACUCCAUGGAAACAUCCUUCUUGCAUUAAGUUUCCUAAUCUUACACAUAUUUAAUACUUUCUAACUUUGAAACAUUUCCAUAUUCCAUUUUGACUAUCACUUCUGAACAAGAGUUGCCUCUUUUCAGACUAUGUCAAUAUGGUCCUUCCAAUAUUAAUACUAUACUUCCAAGUGUCCUUGAGCAACUAAUCUUUGGUAAACCUUAGAUUGUUCUCAACAAUUGCUUAAUCAUUUUAGUCAUAUCCAAUUUGAGACCUUUUCCCUUCUUAAUGCCCCAUGCAUUUGGAAAAUUUUAGAAAGGAUGAAUAUAGCACAUGUAAUUGAUCCUAUAUCCGAAGCAUAUGGGACACGAUUCAUGAUGUCUCACCUAAAGCCCAAACCAGUAUUUUGCUAUAAUAUUUCCAUUUCUAUUUGCCAAGUUCUCAUAAUUUAGAUUAUGAAAAGGGAUGCUGUAAUCAUAAUUGAAUUUUAGAACGCAAAUAAUGAACCCAUAUAUAGAAUUUCCUUAUGUUGAGCCAUUCCAACAUGAAAUUCAUAUAUAUUCUUGAGUAAAUACGAUUAAAACCUCAAUCUAGGCUUUUAGAUUUGAGAUGAAGUAUAAUUUCCUGUCCCUUAAUUAUAGCAAAACAACUUUUUCCUAACUGAGACCUUUUGUUUUCUAUAAUUAACAUGGCUAACUUGCAACCUUUCUCAUAAUUAUCAUGCUCCCACUAACAUGAUGAUUAUUAGCAUAACACUUAUGCUCCCACUAGCUUUGACAUGUGUAACAUCCCAAAAUUCAAGACCAAAAAUUCCAUUUUUAAUUAAGUUAUUACAUAAAAUCAGAGUCUGAAUAAUCAAAAUAUAAUAUUAUGAAACCAUAUCAGAGUAUAAUCCCAAGGAUCUCGUGUGCGGAAAACAUAGUGUGAUGCGCUGCGACCAAGCCGACUCCUUUCCGUUGAAACAAAGUACCUGAAACCAAAACUGUAAACCAUAAGCACGAAACUUAGUGAGUUCCCUAAUCAUACCAUAUACCACCUAAUAGCAUCAAUAUCUUUCAACCGGUAACUGUCAUCGGUAUGUUUCAACCGGUAACCAGGGACUAUUUCACCUUUACCACUAUCACAUAAUAAUAUGUUAUAAACAUACUGAUCACGUACUAACAUCAUAAACAUGAUGAUCACAUACUAACAUAUCAUAAACAUACCGAUCACAUACUAACAUAUCAUACACAAAGAGAUAAGCAUUGCAUGGUUUCUGUAUACCCCUUGGGUAUCUUUCAAACGAUAACUGCCAUUGGUAUCUUUCAACUGGUAUCUGCCAUCGGUAUCUUUCAACCGGUAUCCGCCAUCGGUAUCUUUCAACCGGUAACCGGGGACUAAUUCACCCCUACCACUAUCAUAUAAUAUCAUGAUAUAAUCAUACAGUCAGGCAUUUCUUGGUACUGACGUACCCUUCGAUCCUAACGACCGAGUUAGGGAAAAACUAUUCCCUGCUACUACCACUAACACACAUAGCAUAUCGCAUAUGCAUAUCACAUAAACAUAUCUCAUAAGCACAUCACAUAAGCAUAUCUCAAGAGCAUAUCAAAUAAACAUACCAAGAUAAUUAUCACAAAGACAAUUAUCUACCAACUACCCCUGUUGGUGGGCCGGCAUUGUGGCCUUAGAUCCACCCCUACUGGAAGGUAACUCACCUCACACUGUUGAAGUCCCGUAGACAGAAUCCCACACUGCUAAAGUCCCGCAGACUCAACCCCAGCUGCUGGAUGACAGAUUUCCAAACUGUCAAUACCAAAAUAACACCCAAUUAAUAAUCGGGUUCCACUACAUAACCAUAACACAUACUUGGAUAAUUACUACAUUACCCCAAGCUUGGUGUAUUCAAGCCCAAGGCCCAAUCCAUAGGCCCAAAGUCAACUAGGAAUCAAAGCCCACCAUAUGGCCCAAUUUUCCAAAUUGGGCCGAGGCCUAUACAUGGUCUUAUUCUAAGGCCCAAUAUCAUAUAAUCAUGAAGGCCCAAAGUAUGGCCCAAGUUUCCAAAUUGGGCCCAACUCCUCAUAUGGGCCUUACCACAAAGCCCAUUAAUUUAUUUUAGUCCAAUUGCUUGACUUUGGAUGACCCAUUAAUAACCCGAUCAUGAAGGGCCAAUAAUAAACCCAAAUGAGAUUAGGGUUUCGCAUAAAAUGACAAUUAGCGUUAGGUUUCCUACUUAACCCAAUAAGGACUUAAUCCUCUAAGGACUUAAUCCAUUAAGUCCAAUAUCGCUUAGAUUAAUCUUGCCAAUGCUUAUUAUUUAAUAUUUCAAGUUAUUAAUAAUUCCCGUGUGUGUGUCCCAAUUAAUUCUCAAAUUUAGGGUUUCAUUGCAUUAGGGUUUUCCAAACCCUAAUUAAGGUUUCCAACCCACAUUAGUCCAUUAGGUCCAAUAGCUAAGUCAUUAGAUCCAUUAUGGUUCACUAAGCCCAUUAGACACAUGUUUGGGCUUUAAUGUCAAUUAGGGCUUUAUUGGGCCCAUUAGGGCUUACAAGGCCCAUUAGGGUUUUAGUCCCUUGUCAAGACAUCCCAACUGAAUUACAACACAACUAAGCACACCGCCCCCCGACAUGGUGGCCGGUGGCGGUAGGAGGCGGCAGCCACCACCCUUCGGUGGUGGUUUGAGUUCCAUUUCAUUAUUCCAGUUUUUACAAUUACAAUGAAUUCACGAAAUAACAUGCACACUAUACUAAAACAACACACACCCACAACCACCCUUGUGGUGGUCAUUGGUGGUACACGGUGGCAGCCACCACCUCACGGUGGUGGUCGUCUUUUCUUGGUUGUCCGACUAGACAAGACACACACAACACAUACUAAUCACCAAUAGUCGGCUGAAACUAACACACACACACACACACGCAGAGCACACACCCUCAUGUUAACAGCGGAGGAGAACGACGACACAACGACGGCUGAAACAAAUUGAAACGGGGACCAAAGGCCAUUUCCGGUGGCAACAGUAGCAGUUAGCGGCGUUGGAAACCACACCUUCCCCGGAGACAACGCCACAGCAGGAGAAUAGGGACGAGAGAGGGAAGACGGUGGCGAUUACGGGACGUGCUCGACUAGCCUUCCUACGACCCCACCAAGGUUCAAGGCUCUCCUCCGUCGGACAUGAGAGGGAGCGACCCAACCAAGAAAUCAUUCUCGAUCUCAAUGACUGGGUAGUGGACACUUCGUCCUCAUCGGCAGCUAGAUAACACGGCGGUUCCUCGGUGGUUUCUGGCAUAAACAGCGGUAGCAGCAUCUGCUGGAACAGCGAGCUCGUCGGUCUCCCCUGACCGGGACAAUAAAGGAAACGACGGCUGGGAAACGACAUGCUUGCCGAAAUCAGUGAUGCCAUCGGCGGAUGAGGAGGGAUUCUAUGAUGGUGGCGGCCGGGGGGGGACAUAAGGGGGGUGACGGCUGGAGGGUUCAUUUAGGGUUAGGGUUAUGAGAUCAAUAACACAGUUAAAUACCCGGUGUUUGAAACUCACGACCAUAUUGACAGGAAUGGUCCCUAUGUCUCCCCUUUCUUUCAAAUCAAACCCACAAAUUACCAUUUGGACCCCGCCUCUUCAAUUUCUUUACAAUUUUAGUCCAAAUUUUACUAAACAACCCCUCUCUCAACAAAUCCUUUUCAAAAUCAAUCCAUAAUUUGUCUUUUUAACCCCUGAUUCUCAGUUAUGACAUAAUCAGCCCUUCCACCUCAUUUCCUUUUAAAUUAAAUUCAAAUAAUUACCACGGAGCUCCUAUCUUCAUAAAUAAUUAUAAACUGAGUCCGAAAAUUACACUUUUAACCCUCGACUUCUAAAAUGGUUUCAAUUAGCUCUUCGAGAACAUCCUUUUAUACAUAAUUAUUUACUUUAGGGCUACGAGUCCUUUAUUUCUUUAUUUAUUUAUUUAAUAAAUAAACGGUUGUUACAACUCUCCCCCACAUAAAUUAGAUUUCGUCCUCGAAAUCGUUCCUUACCAUUCCUUACUCGCCCAACCACUCUAGUAGCAUGGUUACCAACCUGGCCAUCCCUAGCCUUCCCAGGGUAGCCAUGACCAAUACUCGUAAAGCCCUAAAAUCCGCAGGUGAACGAAUUCCUCACAACAAGUUCACAUCUACUUCGUCUGAAUCUACUAUCUCGAGAUGGUUUGAUUCCCUGACAGACCACUCAUAUUGAUUCAUCAUCGAUGAAUCUAGUCCGUUUAUCCCUUUACCGACUACUCAACUUUCAAUAACUCGAGGCUCCCACUAUAAAACAGAUUCACAAACCUAAUUACCCCUGCAAAUCACUUAUUCUUGGUCAAGGAUCAGCUAAUCCCGCUGGGAGUGACUUGUCACUUCCCCGACAACCGGCUAUUCCGUCCGUACUUGCAACCUGAAACACAAUGCCAAGACUGCCAAAACACUGAAACUGCCCGAACACUGAACUGCCUAAAGUAGUAUGUUGCCACAUGGCUGCUUUCCAAAAUCUAACGAGACCUGCCUGGUCUCAAUUUAUUCACCAACGUUCUAAUCUAACCGAUCACAUCCAUGCGUCGAAUCCUGUCAUCAUCAAACCCAAGGCUAAUAGUGAUUGCCAACUAACUAAUGGUAGCCUUAAAUUACAAGCAAUCUCAUACAGUCCAUUGCUUUCCUGAUCUCAUAACUGUAGUGACGCCCCUACAGUCUCAUUACUGGCUUAACCAGAUCUAAUCCAUUUGAGUAAAUCCGAAAUCCAAUCUGUGGAUUUCCAUAUCCUUACUGCUGCACCCGAACUGGUGGGUACUAUUGCUCCUUCCGCGUCCUAACAAUGUACUCAUGCUAUCUACCAACCUAGCGAAUUCUACGGCUACAUCCACAGACUUACAACACUCCCCAAACUAACUGAACACUAGUGAAUGCUACGGCUACCCCCGUAGUCUUACAACACUUUCCAUACUAACUAACCACUAGUGAAUGCUAAGGCUACCCCCGUAGUCUUACGACACUUCCUAAACUAUCUGACCACUAGUGGAUGCUACGGCUACCCCCGUAGUCUUACAACACUUUCUAACUGGGUCAAGCACACAUUCGACCUAACACACCACCGAACUUGAGUCCUAACCGGAACUCUAACCUGGUUCCCAAAACUGGCUAUCAUGUGACCCCACUAUAUCAGUACCACAACCCAUUCCCAUGAUCAAAGCGUCAUAGUAACCCACGAAAUCAUCUACACCCUUUGGCAUAGUGAGAAUUAGUGCCUCACACAACCACUGUCUGAGUGUCUCGAAGGCUUCCUGCUACUCAGGCCCCCAACGAAAGGCCACCGACUUCUUGGUCAGUCGGGUCAAACGAACCACAAUAUCAAAUAAGUCCCAUAUAAGUCUCCGUUAAUAACCUGCUAGACCCGGGAAACUCUGAAUCUCAGAUGGAGACCUCGGAUUCUCCUACUGCAUCACAACCUCUAUCUUGGCCGGAUCAACUAGAAUACCCUUCUGGUUGACAAGGUGUCCAAGAUUUUGCACCCCGCGCAACCAGAACUCACAAUUGGAGAACUUUAUAAAAAGUAUCUCCCCCACUUAGAUUCAACUAAGUCUUCACAACACGCAAGAAUUGAAGGAUUCCCAAUCCUUCUCGCUUUCUAGUACCCCAUUGAUGACAACCUGUGCUUACCAAUCCUAGCGAUUAGUCACCGGUUAAACCUUAAGAUCGCCCAUACUCGGAAAUCUCGAUGAGUACUCUUGAAAUCUGGUCCAAUCUGACGUCUCUAUCCACCUCCCGUGCUGACACUAGAGGCCUUAAUCUUCACUCUGGCUGACGAGUCCUCAUUCCCACUUCCAAUGUCACAGUACCACUGAACACUAACUUCACUGCAAAAAUAUCGCUCUAACCCUGACCGAGGAUCUUCCAAUCAAUACUCCUGCACAUAUCUCGACAAAGAUUCAGAAUGAUAACGGUACAUGCGGAACCCACUCCGCAAGGUACGUCCUUCUGUGGGUUCAUCAAGGACCUUUCGACAUGCUGGAUGGCAUAUAUGAUCCCUGAUAACCCAAACACUAGCAGAAAACUGACCCGAGAUCUGACUUACCCAAACUCGCUCACAAUCCCAAAGCGAUACGUAUUAGCAUCAUCCAGUUAUUAGUAGUACAGACGACAUACCUACAACAUCUGAAGGAAUACUGAACACCCUCAACUGUCACGAUCAACCUCGCUACCUUGCAGUAGCCUAAACCCUUGGAGCGACAAACUCCCUUGUGCACUUUCCUGUACGUGAUGCACUGACUCUGGCCCUGCUGGCCUUUCACCUGAUGACCGGAAGUCAUGGGUCUCUUCCCGGGACCCUCUACUAAACGCACCUGACACGAACCUCUCGUUCCAGGGUGCUCCCAAUUUGAUCUCGCAUCUGCAAUUUCUUGGAAAUCAUAUCCUUCAGGGUCUGACACUCUGUCACGCUCACUAGCUCGCUUGCCAAUGGCUAAGCUGUAACAACUGGAACAUCCUCUAUCCCCAAACCGGGUCACAAACUUCUCCCUCAAGCUUCUUAGAUUCUCCAAGACUCUCGCCGAUUCGAGUAUGGAUCCUAUGCUUUUAGUAGUGCGGGCCCAAUACUACCUUCCACACCUAUCCAUACUUUCCUCAGCAAUCCUCCUGAAUCCUCCAAGUCACUUCUUCAAACUGGUACCCUGAAUGCUCACUAACAACACAACCGAACCCACUAAAGCACUUACUAGGCUUUCCUAGGUUCCCAUACUCACCCAGUCCUCAGCUGCUGACAGACUCCCCAAUAAUGUCAACUAGCUACCUCAUGAAUAUAGCCACUCGCGAUUUAGCAUAUUCACUUAGUAGCUAGCUCACAUUAUCAAGAGUCCCUCGAAGCACAAAGCAAGCAACAUUCAGAUAAUGGGAAAUCUAACCAACACAUUCCAAUCAAAUCCGUUUAUCCUCAUAUCAGGAAUAUAUACUAGCAUGUAAGUCCGAAGGCUCAUACAAUCAGGCAUAACCUAAACAGGCUAUCCUAGCACUGACUGAUCAAUACUAUCAUGUAAUUCAGCAAGCACAUACAACAGGCACAUAAGGCAUCUUCCUAGAUCCUUAGCCCUAGUCUAGCAUGCAGUUCUCAUAAUCGUAUCAUAACAUGCAUGGGUAUCUUGGGGAAAACUUACUUGAGCUCGGCUGAUUGCACACAUCACACACUUUGUUCUCAAAGUUCUUUUCCCUUUACAGAUUCUUUUCAAAUUCCUUUUUACAAAAUGGUUUUACUUUUGAAAAUUUUCAUACCAAGCCCUUAGUUUGAGUUCAGACACACCUGAGAGUAUGUCUGAAUCCCUCAAACCAAGGCUCUGAUACCAACUUGUAACAUCCCAAAAUUCAAGACCAAAAAUUUCAUUUUUAAUUAGGUUAUUACAUAAAAACAGAGUGUGAAUAAUCAAAAUAUAAUAUUAUGAAACCAUAUCAGCGUAUAAUCCCAAGGAUCUCAUGUACAGAAAACAUAGUGUGAUGCGCUGCGACCAAGUCGACUCCUUUCCUUUGAAACAAAAUACCGGAAACCAAAACUAUAAAUCGUAAGGACGAAGCUUAGUGAGUUCCGCCAUCAUACCACAUACCACCUAAUACCAUUAGUAUCUUUCAACCGGUAACUGUCACCGGUAUCUUUCAACCGGUAACCGGGGACUAUUUCACCCCUACCACUAUCACAUAAUAAUAUAUCAUAAACAUACUGAUCACGUACUAACAUCAUAAACAUGCUGAUCACAUAUUAACAUAUCAUAAACAUACAGAUCACAUACUAACAUAUCAUAAACAUACCGAUAAGCAUUGCAUGGGUUCUAUAUACCCCUUCAGUAUCUUUCAAGCUGUAACUGCCAUCGCUAUCUUUCAACUGGUAUCUGCCAUCAGUAUCUUUCAACCGAUAUCCGCCAUCAGUAUCUUUCAACCGGUAACCGAGGACUAUUUCACCCCCUACCACUAUUAUAUAAUAUCAUGAUAUAAUCAUAUAGUCAGGCAUUUCUGGGUACUGACCUACCCUUCGAUCCUAACGACCGAGUCAGGGAAAAACUCUUCCCUACUACUACCACUAACACACAUAGAAUAUCGCAUAAACAUAUCACAUAAACAUAUCUCAGAAGCACAUCACAUAAGCAUAUCUCAAGAGCAUAUCACAUAAACAUACCAAUAUAAUUAUCACAAAGACAAUUAUCUACCAACUAUCCCUGUUGGUGGGUUGGCAUUGUGGCCUUAGACCCACCCCUACUGGAAGGUAACUCACCUCACACUGCUGAAGUCCCGUAGAUAGAAUCCCACACUGCUGAAGUCCCGCAGACUCAACCCCAGCUGCUGGAUGACCGAUUCCCGAACUGUCAAUACCAAAAUAACACCCAAUUAAUAAUCAGGUUCCACUACAUAACCAUAACACAUACUUGGAUAAUUACUACAUUACCCCAAGCUUUGUGUAUUCAAGCCUAAGGCCUAAUCCAUAGGCCCAAAGUCAACUAGGAAUCAAAGCCCAGCAUAUGGCCCAAUUUUCCAAAUUGGGCCCAGGCCUAUACAUGGUCUUAUUCUAAGUCCCAAUAUCAUAUAAUCAUAAAGGCCCAAACUAUGGCCUAUUUAUGGCCCAAUUUUCCAAAUUCGGCCCAACUCCUCAUAUGGGCCUUACCACAAAGCCCAUUAAUUAAUUUUAGUCUAAUUGUUUGACUUUAGAUGACCCAUUAAUAGCUCGAUCAUCGAGGCCCAAUAAAGAGGCCCAAUAAUAAAUCCAAAUGAGAUUAGGGUUUCACAUAAAAUGACAAUUAGGGUUAGGUUUCCUACUUUAACCCAAUAAGGACUUACUCCUCUAAGGACUUAAUCCAUUAAGUCGAAUAUCGCUUAGAUUAAUCUUGCCAAUGCUUAUUAUUUAAUAUUUCAAGUUAUUAAUAAUUCUCGUGUGUGUGUCCUGAUUAAUUCUCAAAAUUAGGGUUUCAUUGCAUUAGGGGUUUCCAAACCCUAAUUAAGGUUUUCAACCCACAUUAGUCCAUUAGGCCCAAUAGCUAAGUCAUUAUAUCCAUUAAGGUUCAAUAAGCCCAUUAGAUACAUGUUUGGGCUUUAAUGUCAAUUAGGGCUUUAUUGGGCCCAUUAGGGUUUACAAGGACCAUUAGGGUUUUAGACCCUUGUCCAAACAUCCAAAGUGAAUUACAACACAACUAAGCACACCGCCACCCGACACGACGGCCGGUGGCGGUAGGAGGCGGCAGCCACCACCUUAUGGUGGUGGUUUGAGUUCCAUUUCAUUAUUCCAGUUUUUACAAUUACAAUGAAUUCACGAAAUAACACGAACGUUAUUUCAUUAUCCGCCGAGGUUACGCGCAGUAUUCUAGAUCAGACUCACGUGAUCUUUGGCACGGUCAAGGAGGGUAUAUUGGAGAUUUUGGAUGAGAGGCUGGGAGCCUUCCGUACCGAGAUGAUGGCUUUGAUGGGAACACGUACCUUGACAUUUCAAGAGUUCAGGGCUUGCGGGGCACCAGAUUAUCAUGGGGCUAGGGACCCCAUCGCUAGCAGCAGAUGGUUGGCUGAUGUUGCCAACGCAUUCCGUACGAGCUGGUGUCCUGAGGAGGACAAGUUCAGACUCGCUUCCUUUCUUCUGAAGUACAUAGCGAGGGGUUGGUGGGAGGAGAUUGGUCAUGCUCUGUGGGAUGAUGUCACGUUGGACUCGAUGACUUGGAGCGAUUUCUCGGCCAGGUUCAGGGAGGAGUUUUCGCCAAUUAUUGAGGUGCAGCAGUUGGCACGGGAGUUUCAGGAUUUGACGCAGAGCACUGAGACUGUGGCGGAGAUCACCGCCAAGUUCAGGGAGAGGGCUCUUCUUGUACUGCAAUAUGUAGCGGAUGAGGAGAUCAAGAAGGCCCGAUAUCACGAGAUGUUGAGUGCUGACAUCAGGGAUUUCGUGAGACCUUGGGAGAGGCCGCUCCAGGAUAUAGUUGGGUGAGACCCGUGGGUAAGGCUCGUAUGAGAAUAGCAGUAUAGGUGAGACCUGAGAGCAAGGUUGCUCAGUAGUAUGGUUGGGUGCGACCCAUGGGCGAGGCCCGAGCAAGAAUGGCUAGACAAGUAGGAUUAGAAGGAUAGGGGCGGGUGAGAACCGUGGGCGAGGCCCGUGAGUUUUAGCAGCACAGGUGGGACCUGGUAGGGACCUUAGUGUGAAGAUAGGGGAUUGGGGAUCCCAGGAAUUGUAAUGCCUGUAUGGCAGAAUAGAUUGAGCAAUUAUAGGUGGUCGAAGUUUCUUCGAAGUCACUGGAAGCGACUAGGAAUUGUGUUGGGCCUAGUUACCGGUGGGAGCUGGUAAUCCAGAUAUUGAUAGGUUGAUAGGGCCUAGGGUGGUCACUGUUCAUCUCGAAGUCAGAUGAGGAAUGGAAAAAUUUUCAGUCAGUAGCAGUGCGGGUAAGCAGUCUAUUGUGAAAUUCAGGUAGUUGAUUGUGGGGUGCUCGACACCAAAUUAUAGUAGAAAGAUAUGCCCAGUAGAUACUAGCGAUAAUGACCCAUACUGGAGGUAGCAGGAGUAAUGGAUUGGUGAAGAUAGGAUCUUCACAGCGACAGAGGAACUAGUUGGUUAUGGAGCAUUGCCUUGGGGAGGCAAGGAAAUCGCGCAAGGAAAGAAGGGGUGAACCCUUAUGGAUUUAGUUGCAGUACUCGGAGAGUACUAGAAGGAUUGUCGGUUGAGGAAGUGGUGUUUCCAGGAUGUUCAGGGUCAGGGUUGACCCGAGAUUAUUAUCCGCAAGGAUUGAUGUUAGUCAGAAUGACCGGGCGGAAGACCAGCGAAGGUAGGCAGUUGGCAUUGGCGUAAUUAGUAGGGUAUUGGGCGCACAUCGCAGGCGGUGGGCCAUAGCAAACUUCGAGGACGAAGUUUAGUUUAAGUGGGGGAGAGUUGUAAUACCCAAAGUCAGGAAGGCCAAGAAAGGAAAGAAAACCCUAAUUUUAAAGGACGACUCGACGAGUCCAAGGAGGAACUCGGCGAGUCCGAGCGGAAUCCGGAUCGAGGAGUAAGUGACCGACUCGGCGAGUCGACCAAGGAGACUCGGCGAGUCUGGUCUGUGCGAGGAAAACCCUAAAUUCGGGACUUGGAGCCUAUUUAAAUGUCUCAUUCACUCCCCUAAGGUUCCUUUACUGCCUCUUUCACCCAGAACAUCGAACCCUAAGCCCCAUUGUUGCUCAUUCAAGCUUCCAAGCCAUUUUUGAGUGAUUUGAAGGAAGAAGAAGAAGGGGAAUCAUUGAAGCUUCAAGGAUUGGCCUUAGAUCUGAAGAUUGGGGAAACAUUCUGAGUUAUUGAAGCUCGGGGAGCGAGCGGAGCAGGAAUUCAGGGAGUUGCCGGGUAGCAGCUAGUGGCAUCAUCAGCAAGUUCAGCCAGUGCAGGUGAGUUUCCCUUUUAUGUGAAUGGGUCUACGGCCACAAUGCCGGCCCAUGUAGUUAUGAGUAGAAGACCCAGGGGUUAGCCCUAGGCACAAUAUGCUAGUAUGAUACCCAGGAUGAGGUCCAAUGAUAGCGGGCGGGUGCCCAAGGAAUGUUUUAUGUGAUAAUUUAUACUUGUUGUCUGUGUGAUGCUUGUAUGUGCCUAGUAGGGAGGUAAGUGUGGGCAAGGUCCCGUAGCUCACCGAUAGCAGAGUGUGUAUAGUGUUCCACAUCAUAUUAGCAGCAGAUCAGGGGCGAGGCCCGAGUUAGGAAAAGAGUGAGUGUGGGCUGGGUCCAUAUCUCACAAUCAGUAGGAGCAUGGACGGGGUUCCAUGACCCAUCCGCAGCAGGGCAGGGGCAUGUCCUAGGAUAGGCGAGGCCUUAGGGCACAAUCAGUUCGUAUGUGUUUAGUUUAUGUGUUGUGAUAUGUUUAUGUGUUAUUAUUUGUUGGCGGGCGAGGCCCUGUGACCGGCGAGGCCUAAGUGAAACAGGUCUAUAUCUGAGCAGUGCUCGAAGCCAGGCGGGGCCUGGAGCGGCGGGGCCGUUGUAUCGGGCGAGGCCCAGGAUAGCGGGUCUGGCCCAGUAUGUGGUUAUGCAUGUUAUGUGGUAGGGUGGGGAACUAACAAAGCUUCGUGCUUACAGUUUUCAGUUUUGGUUUCAGGUACUUCCGAUAGCGGAGGGAAGAGCUCGGGGUGAUCGCAUGGCAGACACCAUAGAUUAGACAGCCUGGGAAUGUUUUACUCUAAUAACGAACAUGUUUUUUGGAAACUAAUACUCUGAUUAUGUUUCGAUUGAUGAUUUUGCUUUAAGUAAUGUUUUAUUAAAAGAAAAUUUUUAGUCUUGAAUUUUGGGGACGUUACAACCUCACUGUGGUGGUGGUCUUUUCUUGGUUGUCCGACUAGACAACACAAACACAAGAAAUACUAAUCACCAACAGCCACCUGAAACUAACACACACAUGCAAAGCACCCACCCUCAUGUUAACAGUGGAGGAGAACGAUGACACAGUGACAACUGAAACAAAUUAAAACGGCGACCAAAGGCCAUUUCCGGCGGCUACAGUAGCAGUUAGCGGCGGUGGCAACCACGCCUUCCCCGGAGACAACGCCACGGCAGCAGAAUAGGGACGAGAGAGGGAAGACGGUGGCGAUUACGGGACGUGCUCGACUAGCCUUCCUACGACCCCACCAAGGUUCAAGGCUCACCUCCGUCGGACAUGAGAGGGAGUGACCCAACCAAGAAAUCAUUCUCGAUCUCAACAACUGGGUAGUGGACACUUCAUCCUCAUCGGCAGCUAGAUAACACAUCGGUUCCUCAGUGGUUUCUGGCAUAAACAGCAGUAGCGGCGUCUGCUGGAACAGCGAGCUCGUCGGUCUCGCCUGAACGGGACAAUGAAGGAAACGACGGCUAGAAAACGGCAUGCUUUCCGGAAUUGGUGAUGCCAUCGGUGGCUGAGGAGGGAUUCUAUGAUGGUGGCGGCCGGUGGGAGACAUAGGGGGGGUGACGGCUGGAGGGUUCAUUUAGGGUUAGGGUUAUGAGAUCAAUAACACAGUUAAAUACCCGGUGUUUGAAACUCACGAGCAUAUUUACAAGAAUGGUCCCUCUGUCUCCUCUUUCUUUCAAAACAAACCCACAAAUUACCAUUUGGACCCUGCCUCUUCAAUUCCUUUAUAAUUUAAGUCCAAAUUUUACUAAACUACCCCUCUCUCAACAAAUCCUUUUCAAAAUCAAUCCAUAAUUUAUCUUUUUAACCCCUAAUUCUCAGUUAUGACAUAAUCAGCCCUUCUACCUCAUUUCCUUUUAAAUUAAAUUCAAAUAAUUACCACGGAGACCCUAUAUUCAUAAAUAAUUAUAAACUGAGUCCGAAAAUUACACUUUUCACCCUCGACUUCUAAAAUGGUGGCAAUUAGCUCUUCGAGACCUUCGUUUUAUACAUAAUUAUUUACUUUAGGGCUACGAGUCCUUUAUUUCUUUCUUUAUUUAUUUAAUAAAUAAAUGGGUGUUACAACAUGUACUCAAAAAUCAGUUGAUCUUCUAGGAAAAAUAAUACUUUAUUGACUUUCUUACCAAAGUUCAGAUUUCUGAUACUAGAUUGCCUUGAUAGGGCUUUAUAAAAAUCAUACACCUUUAUUAGAUAGCUCACAGGUGUGUGUAAGCAAUUUCAUAACUCUGAAAAGGGAUGCCAUUAUCAUAGUCUAAAUUGUUUAGACCUUUUGCCAUUUCUCAUAAGUCAAUGUUAGUGUGCCGGUUAACCACACACGCUCCACUAACGACUUUGAGAACUACGAAUAUCACAAUUGCUAUCUACUUAAAAUCCACUUAGUGUAAGAGUUUCCUUACCAUCAUUUUCAUGAAUCGAAGAGAAACCUUACAACACUUAGAUUUAAUGGUGUAUGUGUUCUUAUCCAUGUGAAUUGUCAAAACCAUAGUCACAGGACAAGGAUAAUGACAAAUCCAAACUUAUAUGGAGUGAACUCAAUCUUAAUUUCUUGCCAUCUGGCAGCAUAAGGGCCUGCCAUUGCUUCCAAGUAGUUAUGAAAACAAUUGAGAACAUACAGAACUUCAAAUGUAUAGCCAACUUUAACUGGGAAUGGGCACAGAAUAUGUCAACACGAUAGAUUAUAAACUUCUAGUCGUGUGCUAGUGAUGAACUUCAGGUUUAAUUCUUUAUUAGAUCUUGAGAAUUUCAAGAUCUUUAAGGCUCCCACUGUCUCCUUGACAUAUAAGACUUUCUUGUCAGAUAUUCAAGAGAUAGUGUGGAUUCUGAUCAAGACAAACACUUCAAACAAUUGGCCUUAGUUGGUCUUUUAUUUAUCCAAAACAUCACAACUUACCAAUUUCAAAUGUACAAGAGUAGAAAACUUUUAAUCUUACAUUUGACAUGUGUUUUAAACCUUCUUUAAGACAUGUCACUCAAGUUACAAUCUUAGAGUAUAACUCUAUGAAUUAUUUUUGGAACGAAGUAUGAAUCAUCUUCUUGAUUUACCUACUUCAACAAUUCAUAACUCGUCUUCUUAACUAUCCGAAUGCACUUAGAGGAUGAAUUGUGAUAAGGUCUCAAAAUCAUUAGGAUGAUCUUAAAACAUGAUACUAAAGUACUCUCCCAUCUUUUCAGAUCUGAGAAACUUUUAUCCUUCUGCCUAAUUUGAUUCUUCUUAUUCGUUCUGUCAUACAUUGAAAAAUUUUCCAAUGUUUCAGAAUUAUACUUAAGCUUGUAAGUAUAAUCAUAUUUACUAAACCUUAGUAAAUCAUGACGAAUAGUCUUAUCCAUCUUUUGUGGUGGACUUUGACAAGUGCACAAGAAAGUGUACUUGAUCUCUUAGUCCUUUUCUUGAGUCACAUAUACAUGUGACCACGGAACUAGUCUUAAUUUUUCCAAAGUUGAAAAUUCUCAUACAUCACACUCAACACCUUGUAUGAUUCCAAGUUUCGGUCCAAUUGAAACUUGGGUGAUGAGAAUAUUUCCUUAUUUGGUAAAUUUAGACACUACCACAAAUGAAAGAAUCAAAUUCAUAUUUCCAAUAUUGCUAUAAAUAUACAAACAUCAAGUUUUCAUGAAUGUCAUUGUAAGGAGAUAAAAAUAAAGUAAAACAAACUUCUAUUUAUUUUAAAAUGCGGAAAAAACUUUUCCUUACAAUGUAAAUUGAAAUGAAAACUACUUUAUUACAUGGUUCCUAGCAAUAUAUCAUAACUCCUAAGAAGUAGCUCAAAUUUUACCCCGGACGUUUUUCAAAUUCAUCCUAGAAUUAUUUCAAAAUUUACUCCAGAACAUUUCAAAACUUACUCUGAAUUUUUCUACUGUGACUUUGAGUUGGCCCAUCUGUUUGGAACCGAGAAAUACUUGGCUAAAAUCAAAUUCAAGUUGCCAACAUCUGAAAUUUUAGCAGAGGUACCCAUUGAUGAACCAGUACUAGGAUUUUUCUAUCUUCAAAGAAAAACAAACCAAAAGGACUUCUUCUAAGUUCUUGAUAAAAACCUGGUUCCCACUAAGGCGCUUCAAAAGUUCAUUAGUCUAGCUUCCAAGUCCAAAGCACAUGAGCACGCGAAGACAAAGUUCAUAAUUCAGCUACAAUGGUGCAUCAGGGUUAGAGAAUGGUUGUACAGGGCAUACGUGUUCAUCAAGGAAGAUUCGAGCUAAGCUGACUGGAUUGAUAAGUUCACUUAGGGGAGACUGUUGGAACCUAAAAGUGAACCUCUAGCAAUCUCUAACUUUUAGAUGUUCCGAAUUCAGUCUAAGUUCUGAAGUGGAAUAUGGUCCGGAGCCUAUAUAUGGUCAGAAGUGAAGUUUGUGUCUGGAGUAGAGAGUAUGUUCAAUGAGAAGAUGUUCCAAACGAAGAAUAAGUCUGCAUCAAUCUAUCCGUCUAUAUGUUAAUUAUUCUUGUCUUUUAGCUUGAUGUAACAAUUCAUAGGACUUAGUUUAUUUUGUCAAAUGGAUAAUCAUAGUGUCAGAAGUAAUUCUUUUGUCUGGUCCUAUGUAUGUAUUUGAGUUUGUACGAUGUACUCCUUUCUACUAUUUAAUGAGUGUUUAAUGUCAAGACCAUAAGACGUAUUUUUCCUCCAAAGAUAGCUAUAUUUUUUAAUUUACUUCACUUGCAUCUUUCUGUCAAAUCAAACUUCUUGAAACAAUGUACUCGUUCAUUUAUUGUCUUUACUUUGAUUAUUCUCAUUACUCCAUGUUUAUUAGUUGAAGUACUUUGUUGAUUCUCAUCUCAGUAUCGACUGGUCUUUCCAGACUUGACUGGAAGUUAUAAUCAAAAGCAAACAUUGAUCUUCGGCAUUAACUCAAGGUUCGAGUUUUUGAGCCUUGUCCAUACGUAAUUAGAUCCUUGUUCUCACAAGAGGAAGUGACGAGUAAUGAAGCAAAAAAUUGGUUGAUGGCCAUGAAUGAAGAAACCCAAUCAUUGGAAAAGAAUGAAAUAUGGGAUCUAGUUCCAUUAACUAAAAGAGAAAACCAAGUGGGAUGCCAAUGAAUCUUUAAGAAGGAAUGGAUACCUUGAGUUGAACCAACCAGGUUCAAGGAAAGGUUGAUGGUGAAAGGGUUUUAUUAGAAAUAAGGAUUUGAUUAGCACGAGGUUUUCUCACCAGUCGUGAAGCACAAGAGAAUUUGGAUUCUUUUGGCCAUGGUGAGUGAAUUUGAUCUGGAGCUUGAACAAAUUGAUGUGAAAACUGCAUUUCUUCAUGGAACUUAGAAGACAAUAUUUAUAUGUCCCAACCAGAAGGGUUCAUUGAUUUUAAGAAGGAUCCUGUAUGUUUGUUGAAGAAAUCUCUAUAUGGUUUGAAGUAGUCUCCAAAAUAAUGGUAUAAGAGAUUUGAUUCAUGCAUGAUCUCACAUGGCUACACUCGGAACCAAUUUGACAAUUCUGUUUACUCAAUGGAAUUGUCACUGGAUUCCUACAUAUAUACCUGUUGCUAUAUGUUGAUGAUAUGUUCAUCGCAACCAAGGACAUGACUGCAAUAAAUGACUUGAACGCAACCCUAAAGAAUGAGUUUGAGAUGAAGGAUUUGGGAGCAACAAAAAUGAUAACGGGGAUGGAGAUUCACAAGGAUAGAAGAGUAGUGUGGUUGUGUAUUUAUCAACAAAAGUACAUUAAGGAAGUUAUGCAUUCUUUCAAUUGUGAUCAGUCCAAACCAGUUGGAACUCCUUUGGCGGAUCACUUUAAACUUGGUCCAGAUACUAUACCCACAACUAAUGAAGAAAGGUAGUAGAUGAGCAUGGUUCCUUACUUUAGUGUUGUUGGAAGUCUCAUGUAAGGAAUGGUCUAUACCAGACCUGUUUUGUCUCAUUUAAUUAGUGUGGUAAGAAGGUUUAAGAGUAAUCUAGGGAAGGAUCAUUGGGAAGCUGUGAAGUGGAUCAUGAGAUACUUGAAGGGAAUGACGAAUGUUUUCUUGGUGUAUGGAGCUAAUACGAAGAAUGAGUUGGUUAGAUAUUCUGACUCUGAUCACGGAGGUGAUUUCUUGAAGCGUAGGUCACGUACAUGUUAUAUUUUCGCUUUUUUUAUGUGCCAUCUAUGAUGAAAGGAAUAAAAGAGGAGAUAUGGUCGCAUGCGCUUAUUCAACGUCUUGGUCUUAAGGUGGAGAAGUUGCUAGUGUACUGUGACAGUCAGAGUGCAUUGAAUCUUGAAAAGAAUCCUAUGUAUCAUGAGAAAAUGAAUCCUAUUUUAAAAAAGUCAUUGCUCAUGGAGAAUUUCAAUCUUUUCUUAGACAUGGUUGAUGUUCGCAGGGGGUAAGCCCCUUAGGGGCUUGAUGGUAGGAAGGGAUAGGAAUUUCUUGUUUAAAGUGGAGUUCAAAGGAUGUCCAAGUCAAGGUGGAGAUUGUUAAAUGUGACUCAAAAAUUUGGAGCAUUCACAUGGACCAUUUCGAGCAUGUGGAACCAAAAUGAAACCCUUAGGAUUCGUGGAUCAUGUGACAAAGGAAUGGAUCAUCUGAGAAAGGAAUUAAUCUCCUAAUAAAAGAACGAUUAAAAUGACAAAGGAACGGAUCUUAUAAAAGGUGGUAUGGAGUACCAGGAAGUGGAAUGGAGCAUCCUAGUGCAUGGAUGCAUCAUCUCUACUUGAAGUGCCGUUUUAAAAGUGCCAUUAUGGACGUGGAAGUGCCACUCAUUGUCUAGAGAUGCCAUUCUAGAGGAAGAAGCGCCGCUAUGGUUCUAGAAGUGCCAUUCUGGAGGUAGAAGCGCCAUUUUGGAGGUAGAAGUGCCAUUCUGGAGGAAGAAGCGCCACUUUAAAGGAAUAUGUACCACUAUGGUUCUAGAAGAACCACUUAUAAGGAGGAAGCGCCAUCCCUUGAGAAGAAGCGCCAUUAUCAUAUUGAUGUGCUGUAUUGUUGCAAGGAUGUGCCACUUAUGUUGCUUGAUGAGCUGUAUCCUAUAAGGUUGCCUAUGAUUCUCAAUAUUGUUCAAGGAAACUUAGUAGUUGAAGAUGCUCAAGGAUUAUUGCUUGAUGCGCCACCAUCAUGGUUCAUAUGCCAUGGUGAUCUUGAUGUGCCACUCUUGCAUCAUGAUAUGCCAGUAUUGAUCAGGAUGCUCCAUCAUGUGUGUUUCUGAUGAUCAUGCAAGGAUGAAUGUUCCAGAAGAUGCUACAUCACAAAUUGUGAUUGGUUGACACCUUUUGUAAAGUCCUAAAAAUCAAAGUAAAAUUUUCGUUUUUAAAACACAAAUCAAUGAACCCAAAAGUUACCAAAAUAUUAUUUACAAAUCAUAAUAAGUCAAAACAUCAAAUCAGAGUAUCAAUCAACAUAAACUUUAGGAUGAUGUGUACAAUCACACUUUCGCCUUUCCCCGCUCAUCAGAAGUACGUGAAACAUUGAAAUCCAAACUGUAAGCCAAAGCUUAGUGAGCUUCCAAAAAUACCCACACAAUACAAAAAAAUACAUAUACAACACAAGAAUAUAUAUAGGGUUUGAUGGUCCUUGACCUCAGCCCAAUCAUACUGGGUUUGUUGGUUUACAGCAUAGAGCAGUAAAACCUCAAUCCAAUCAUCCAGGGUUUGUUGGCACUUGGCCUCAACCCAACAAUCCAGGUUUGUUGGCAUGUGGCCUCAACCUCACCAUACCAGGUAUGUUGACUACCAGUCUCAACCCAACCAUAUCGGGUUUGUUGGCACAUGGCGUCAACCCAAUAUCAAAAUAUACACAAGAAAUCAUAUAUAUAACUAUCAUAGAAAUACAACAUCCUAGGAUAUAUAUNUAUAUAUAUAUAUAUAUACAAACACAAUAAAUGGGCCGACCUUGGUGCCUUAGACCCAUUGGCAUUGUGACAGAACUCACCUCUCAGUCUAAACUAAAAUGGGCCGACAAGCUGAAAUAAAUAUCGGCUCCCAAUACCGACUCUACCCAUCACCUAUUAUGAAAAUAAUGGACCAAACUUGAUUAAUAUCAAAAUAUCCAAAAUACCCUUAGGUCAACAUUGGUCAAACUCAACAAACUAGCCGAGUGAACCCAUCCUUGUAUGCAUGGCAUACUCGGAUGUACGUUGGGCAUACUCGGAUGUAUGCAAGGCAUACUCAGUCGCAGCCAGAAAAUAGGGGCCUAACCACGCACGCGUGAUGUACCAUCUGGUAAGCCCAACAUACGCAUCUAAAUGCUUCCUAACCCAUUAAGUGCUUAAUACUUUAGAUUUUUCGUCCAAAUCAUAGAUCCAAGUCCCAAAUGUGGUCCUUGACCAUAAAGUUUCCAACUUUAUGGUCUUGCAUGCCAAUUAGGUGCUUAACAUUAAAACCCCCUACAACUAAAGCCAUUAAGACACAAAAACUCAUGCAUAAGGGAGAACUAAGAGUCAAGAACACAUUUUUAUCACUCUUUUCCUAGAAAAACGUCUAAAACAACAGCCCAUUUGGUUUAUAGCAUGUCAUUCACAAGAAAGUCAGAUUUUGGGGACAAAAGUUCAUAAUAUCAUCAUAUAAUCAAGAUCUAACUAGUUAAUCACCAAUGUUUGAACUUUAUACAUUCUGGAGAUUGAGGAUGAUGCAAGACUUCCAGAUCCAAGCUUGCUUCUAGAUUCUAAGCUUCACUACCACCUUCUUCUUCCUUUGAAAAACACUAAAACACACUCUCAAGCUUCAAAAUGCAACAAUGGGGAUAGGGUUUGCAAGGGGAGACAUUUCUAGUGAUGGGGGAUGGAAUUGAGAUAGGGAAAUAGAAGUUAAGGUUCAAUAUAUAGGAUCCAAACCCUAAAGAUUAGGUUUUAUGUCCUGACGGAGUACACCCUGCAUACACAGAGUACGCCCAUCAUACUCCCCAAAAUGUCGUUGCUUCAUGAUAAGCCCCUUACACCCAGCGUACCAGCCAGAUACGCCCCACGUAAGGGCCAAAGUUGCAGAGUUUGAAAUUUAAAGGGGUCAAAAGGGAACUUACCAGGACUCAAGUGUUACAAUUGUCCUCCACUUAAACUAGACUUCAACCUUGAAGCCCGACGAAGCAAACUGUUCCGGGUAAUGCUCCUUGAUCUACGAUUCCGGUUCCCAAGUCCACUCAGAGCCCUUCCGAUGUUGCCACUGAACCUUGACCAAGGGUACCACCUUGUUGCACAAGGGCUUCGUCUUCCGUUCAAGAAUCACUAUUAGCCUAUAUAUGUAGUUUAGUUACUCAAUGACCUGAAUGUCGUCUAGUGGUACCACCACCGUAUCAUCAACUAAGCACUUCUGUAACUUGGAAACAUGGAAAGUGUUAUGAAGCUGCAUGAGCUCCUCCAGCAGAUCCAAUCGGCAGGCCACCUUGCCCACCCUGACAAUCACACAAAAUGGUCCAAUUAAUCGGGGUCCUAACUUGCCCCACUUCCUUAAGAGUAUCACACCUUUCCAGGGUGACACGUUUAGUAAUACCAUGUCACAAACUUGGAACUGCAGUUCACACUGCCAUGGGUUUGCAUAACUCUUCUAUCGGUUGUGAGGUGUUUGCAGCCUCUGUCUGACCUGCUGAAUCAUCUAUGUAGUUUUGGAGCACUGCCUCAGUGCUCCCUAUAAUCCUCUAUCCGACCUCACCCCAACAUAUUAGGGUGCAAAAAUUCAUCCCAUAGAGAAACACAAAGGGAGGUGCACUAAUACAGGAGUGGUAACUGUUGUUGUACGAGAACUCUGCCACAGGAAGGUAGGUAUCCCAACUCCCAACAAAAUCAAUGACACAAGCCCUAAAUAUAUCCUCCAGGGUCUGAAUCGUAUGCUCACUUUGACCAUCGUUUUGAGGGUGAUAAGUAUUGUUGAAAUGCAAUCCUAUGCCUAACUCCUCAUGAAACCUCUUCCAAAACCUUGAAGUAAAACAAACAUCCCUAUCUGAUACCAUGGAAAUCGACACCCCAUGACGAGAGACCACCUCUCGAAUGUAGAUAUCUUCCAACUUCUCGAUCGAAGAACUCUCUUGAAUAGAAAGAAAAUGGGUAUUCCUGGUCAACAUAUCAAGAAUCACCCCAAUAUCAUCGAAGCCGCAAGGAGUCCGAAGUAAUUUCGUGAUGAAGCCCAUAGAAAUCUGCUCCCAUUUCCAAAUGGGAAUCUCCAAAGGCUGUAGCUUGCUGUGAGGCAUCUGAUGUGUGACCUUGACUUUCCUGCAAGUCACGCACCUCUCCAGAUAUUCUGAAAUAUCCCUCUUCAUGUAGGGCCACCAAUAGCUAAGUCUCAAGUCCCGGUACAUCUUGGUUGCACCAGGGUGUAUUGAAAGUCGAGACUUAUGUGCCUCAUCCAUCAAAAUCUAUCUCACACCUCCAGUAUCUAGAAUCCAUACUCUACCACACUGUUUCAACAAUCCUCUGCUAUCCAUGAAAAAGGUAGAAAAUUAACCCUUGAUAUUCUCCUUCUUCUUGUUCCUCUCCUUAAUCCCCUCCGUCUAUGCCUCCCCAACCAUCUCUAAUAUUGGGAAUGUAAUCAUCAUCCUCAUACAUAACCCUACACUAGGUGCACCCAUCACUGUGUGACUUAGUGUGUCGGCUACCACGUUGGCCAUACCUGGGUGGUACAUAAUCUCACAAUCAUAAUCCUUGACCACGUCAAGCCACCUCAUCUACCUCAUUUUUAGGUUCGGUUGGUCCAUAAGGUAUCUCAAACUUUUGUGGUCCAUGUAGAUGGUACAACAGACCACAUACAGAAAGUGUGUCCAAAUCUUGAGGGCAAAAACCACAGCCUCAACUCUAAAUCGUGCAUAGGGUGGUUAGCCUCAUAAGGCUUCAAAUGACGUGAUGCAUAAGCAAUCACUGUGCCUCGCUGCAUGAGUACCGCACCCAUCCCGGUGAUGGAAGCGUCACAAGACACCACCAUAUCCUCUAUGCCAUAUAGAAGGGUCAACACUAGAGCCUCACACAAUUUUUGCCAUUAAAUAUCGAAGGUCACCUGAUGCUCGGGCCCCCAAACAAAAUCCACAACCUUCUUAUUUAGGCGAGUGAGAGGAACAACAAUCUUGAAGAAAUCCUGGAUGAAUCUUGGAUAAUACCCAGCCAAGACUAGAAAACUAUUGAUCUUUGAGGGAGUCUUCAGAACCUCCCACUACAUCACUUCCCCAAUCUUGGUUGGAUCGACCAAUAUCCCAUUUUGGUGACGAGUUGUCCCAAAAACUGAACCUUGCAACCAAAACUCUCACUUGGAGAACUUGGAAUAUAACCUCUCCCUCCUCAAAACCCCUAGGAGCUCCUGUAAAUUCUCAUCAUGCAGCUCUUUGGUCUUGGAGUAGACUAAGAUAUCAUUGAUGAACACAAUAAUGAACCGAUCAAGCAUCGGUCGACAGACCCUGUUCAUCAGAUCCAUGAAUGCUGCUGUUGUGUUGGUGAGUGCAAAUGACAUCACCACAAACUUAUGAUGACCAUAACGAGUACAUAAAGCUAUCUUUUCUACAUACUCCUCUCUAAAUCUCAUCUGAUGGUACCCUGACCUCAAAUUAAUCUUGGAGAACCACGAUGCUCCUUGCAGCUGAUCAAAGAGGUCAUCAAUCCUCAGGAGUGGGUAAAUAUUUUUCACUGUCAACUUUUUCAACUCCUGGUAAUCUAUGCACAUCCUAUGGGUAUCGUCCUUCUUUUUCACAAACAAAAUCGGUGCUCCCCAAGGCAAAUUGAUCGGUUGAAUUCAAUGCUUUCCCAACAGCUCCUAAAGCUGAGAGGAUAGCUUCUACAUCUCUGUCGGAGUAAGGCGAUUAGGUGCCUUGGUGAUCGGGGAUGCACCAGGGAUCUGUACAAUCCUAAACUCCACCUUCCUUUUCGAUGGUAUACCAAGAAAAUCCUUCAGGAAUACAUCUGGGAAAUCCCGGACUAUCGAGACAUCUGAAACUGAAUGACUCGGCUCCACACGAGUACCUACCACAUACGCCACGUAACAUGAGCAUCCAUGCUGGAUAAACCUCCCGGGCCUCGAUGCUAAUCAAAAUGUUGAACCAACCCUGGUACCCUCACCAUAUAUGGUUAGCUCUCGCCCACUUGGGCUGUGAACCACCACAAGCUGUCUCUCAGAAUCAAUCUGAGCCCCAAAACGGCUCAACUAGUCCAUCCCAUCAAUAACGCUGACAUCCCCUAUGGGAUUUGGGACUAGGUCGAUCGGGUACAACACCCCAAAAAUGUCCAAAGUACAAUCGUGGAAAACACUCGAAACAGGGACUCUAUCCUUGUCGGCAGCAUAAAUACGUAUAGGAUGCUCAUAUGCAUCAAGAGGAAUGCCAAAACUCCUACUAACGGUCAAGGAUACAAAUGACUGACUCGCACCCGAGUCAAAAAGCACAAAUGAAGGCAAUGAGUUUACAAGAAAAGUAUCUAACAUAAAUAUGAAUCAUAAGCAUAAUAUAACAUAAUAAGAGAGAAACAUAAAUAGAUACAUGACGGAAACGACGUCUAGUGUCACGCUGGUCUCCUCAGGCGUCCUCUGAAAAUCACGUCCUAUAGCUCUCGGGGUCUCAGUCCUCCCUUGACGUUCAUCUGUGAUUCGAACAGUUGUCGGGGCCGGUGCCUACACAUUCCUAACAACAAGUAGAGGCCAUUGGGUGUAACAACCUGAACUUUCAAAAUAAUUUUUCACUUUUAAAACAUUCAUUCAUUCAUAAAAUAAUGUCAAAAACAUUGUAUCAAUUGUUAUUAUCACAAAACAUCUCCCCAGAAUCUCUACAAAAACUCCAAUGCGUGUUUGUACGAAUCAUGCCGGCGCCUUCCCGCGCUCAUCACUAGUACCUGAAACACAUAACACAACAACUGUAAGCAUAAAUGCUUAGUGAGUUUCCCAAAAUACCACAUACAGCACAUACGCCACUCGCGGCUGUAAUACGACCCUCCGGUCGAUGUGUCUCAGCAGGACCCUCCAGUCCCGUAGCUCGUUGGACCCUUAGGUCCGGUCAUAGCUCGUUGGACCCUCCGGUCCGGUCUAUAUCAUCAUACAACAUACAAAUAUCACAUAGCACAUAAUCUCAUACAUAACACAUUAGACCCUCUGGUCAUCGCAUAGUACCACUCUAGGUAACGUAUAGUGAGAAGACUCACCUCGAUGUCUCGGUAAACAUCUGACCCGGAAGAAGUUUGAUCUAGCCUCCGCAUAAUCACAUAAAGCAUUACUUUGAUAAAUAAUACUGUACUCAAUCCUAAAAGUCAACAAGGUCAACGGUCAAACUUUGACCCGACUCGUCGAGUGCACUAGGGCGACUCGGCGACUCUACACGUGUCCACUGGCUCUCUUAGAUCCUCUCAUAGCACGUCGAGUACUCCCCUUGAGUCGACGAGUUCCACCUGGCAUGAAUCGCGGGGCCACCCCGACUCAACUCGCCGAGUCUCAAGAACAACUCGGCGAGUUCCAACUUGCACUCAGACCCUUGACUUUCCCUGACUCACCGAGUCAUUCCCCCAACCCGACAAGUCCACUCACUAAGUGGUUAACGGGCAACCUUCAUACUACUCGCCGAGUCUGUUCUUCGGACUCGGCGAGUUCAUGCCAUGCACAAACUCAAAACAACUUCUGAGGUCAGAUCUGUUCCAUACAAUCAUAGAUUUGGCCUCCCCAAGCAUGAUAAUCACGUAAAGUUCGGACCUUGACACACACAUAACAUCUAAGUGGUCCAAAAUGAUGGUUUAGCCCCAAAAAUGACAUUCCAAGCUCAUGACUUCCACAAUGACUCAUAAAGCUCCAAGGGUUAAGGUUUCUGGACCUCUUUGGGUCCAUAUCCAUAACACAAACUCGAGAAGGGACCAAAUACACCACUUAAUCAACCUCUAAAAGGGUUAGAAAACCCAAACACUAAGAAUCAACACCAAAACUGAAGAAGGUCCGAGAAUAAUACCUCAAUACAAUCUCUAUGAGCUGAAAAACCACCAAAAUCGCACCUCCUUCAGCCUCCUCUUGCGUUGAACACUUCCUUCUUGCAAAAACACCCACAAAAGUUCAAGAUUGGCCUCUCCUUCCUCACAAACGCUCUAGAUCUCUUUAGGGUUUCUCUCUGGGGGAUGGUGGCCACAAAUGACGACCAUAAGGCCCUUUAAAUAGGUCUCAAACCCCAGAAAUUAGGAUUUCAUUAAACAGUGUGGACUCGCUGAGUCCACUCAUGAAUUCACAGAGUCCAGCUGUGAACUCGCUUACAAAUCCGCGACCAUACUCGGCGAGCAUAGAUACCAGCUCGCCGAGUCUCCCCUCAACACACAAAAAUAAAAGGGAAAUACAUCAUACCUAGGAAUCCGGGUGUUACAAUUCUCCCCCAAUAGAAUCAGACUUCUCCCUCGAAGUCUUACUCUGCAAACAACUCCGGAUGCUGCUCCCACAUCUCACGCUCUGGUUCCCAAGUGAACUUUGACCCUUUCCGAUGCUGCUACUGGACCUGCACCAGUGGCACUUCCUUGUUCCUCAAAACCUUGAUCUUCCGAUCCAUGAUCGCCACCGGUCUCUCAACAUAAUUCAGGCUCGCAUCCACCUGAAUAUCUUCUAAUGGCACCACUGUCGACUCGCCAGCUAUACAGCCCUACUAUAGAUUCUGUCUCGCUUUGGCGGCCGAACAAAAUGCUGACCCCGCACGUAUACCCUCGCCGUGCACUGUAAGAACUCCCCCACUAGGGUCUCGAAUUGUCACCAACUGACCCUCGCAGUCUAUCAUAGCUUCAUAUCGGCUAAACUAAUCCAUACCCACAAUAACACACACAUCCCCCAUCACGAUCGGAACCAGAUCUAUCGGGAACUCCACACCGAAGAUCUCAAGGACACAUCCUCCAAUCACAUCUGAAGCAUACAUUGCUCGCUCAUCAGCUAUGGAAACUCACAGAGGCUGAUCCAAUGCCUCUCGACGGACACUAAUAUGCUGACUAAAUGCUAUGGAAACAAACGACCGACUCGCACUCAAGUAAAAUAAUACCAAUGCAGGCACAUAACUCACAAGAAAAGUACCUACGCAUAUCAUCAUAUAAGCAUAAAAAAAACUCAACUCAAAUAAAAGGUGAAAGAGAAUCGAUACCAGCCACAACAUCGGGCGUCGUGCGGACCUCCUCCGCGGUCAACUGAAAUGCUCUCCCACGAGCCUUCGGGGCCUCGACCAUCACCGGCCGAACCUCGGUAGUCCUAGCAGCAGGCGCAGAUCCCUGUUCUGAUCCCUGAAGAAGCCGCGGGCACUCGGCCUUCCGAUGGCCGGUCUGGUUGCAAUAACAGAAAACCGAGAAUCCCUUGGGGCAAUCCCUCGCGAUAUGCCCCUCCUUCCCACACUUGUAGCAUACCCCAACCCUGCACGACCCCUCAUGACUCUUUCCGCACUUCCCACAAGUGCGGCCCUUCGCGCCUCCAGAUCUCAAAUUAAUGAGUCUAGCCCACUUGGCUACCGGCUGAGACUGAGCCGGCCGCCGAUCCAUCCUCUGAGAUUCGGCCUCCUCCCUGGCCUGAGUCUCCAAUUCGAUCUCCCUCUUCCGGGCAUUCGCCUGGAGCUCAGCAAAUGUUUGGUAGGUUGAGUUUGCCACGAACUCCCAAAUAUCUCUCCUCAGUACACUCAGAUAACGGCUCAUACAAGCCUGCUCAGACGACACAUGCUCAGGACAAAACAUCGCCCUCUCAUGAAACUUCCUGGUGAUGACUGCCACAGAAUCAGUACCCUGCUUGAGGGUCAAGAACUCCUGAAUCAACCGUUCCCUUUCCACUGGGGGAACAUACUCCUCUCUGAACAUAGCGGUGAACCUCUCCCAGGUCACCUCAGAAAUCUUAGCCAAAUUGAAGUUCACCGUCACGAACUUCCACCAAUCCUUCACUCUCAGGAGGAGCCGGUUCAAUGCGAACCGAACCCUCAAGUGCUCUGGAAAAGAACACGUAUAGAAACAUCCCUCGAUGUCAGAGAUCCACCUCAUAGCGGCAACCGGGUCCUGCAUCCCGUUGAACUCUGGUGGCUUCGUGUUGCUGAACUCCCAGAACAACAACGAGUCCCCUCCCUGAGGUCUGGCAGCAGCAGCAGCAGCUGCAGCUGCAUCAGCCUCAGUCAAUGUUGUGUACCGCUCAUCAAAAGUCCUAAUCAACGUGGUCUUGAUGUCCCCAAACAUCAUGGGAAUCUCAGCCCAGAUGGCAGCAGCAACCUCUUCAUGAAUCAAUCAACGGAUCUCCUCGUCGCUGACACCAUUGCUCUCAGGUGUGUGUCGAGUCCCAACCAUGAUGCUUCUGAAAUACAACAAAAAUUAUCAGAGACUCGAUCGAGCAUACACAUACUCGAUGACACAACCCUACUUGUCCUCCGUUGUCCAAAAGAUUCUUACAUGGAAUGCCCACUUAUCUGGUGUCUGCAGUAGUACGGGCCCAAUACUAAUGACCACACCGCAUCAGUAUUCACUCCAAGUCCUCCUCCUUGGAUCAUGGAUUACAUGUACUCUACUCUCAAAGCAUCUCAGCAGCAGAAAUCUCCUAGGCUAAGGCAUCACAAAUCAGGCCUCUCUAGUCCUAAUAUGUAUACCUAGCCUAUUCUAGUAUGCAUAACAUAACAUAUCUCAUAACACAUAAUGUAAGGGUACUUUUGGGGAUUCACUGUUCGGGCGCUGACUGAUUGUACACAUGGCUCUACUCUGUUUGUCUCAAAACUCUUUUUACUCUUUUCAAAAAGUUUACUUCAUUAUCAAGAUUUUUCCUCAAAUCCUCAGUUUGAGUUCAGAUACGCCAGAAGAUGCAUCCGAAACCCUCAAACCAAGGCUCUGAUACCAAUUGUAACAACAUGAAUUUUCAAAAUAAUUUUUCAUUUUUAAAACAUUCAUUCAUUCAUAAAAUAAGGUCAAAGACAUUGUAUCAAAUGUUAUUAUCAGAAAACAUCUCCCCAGAAUCUCUACAAAAACUCCAAUGCGUGUGUGUACGAAUCAUGUCGGCGCCUUCCCGCGCUCAUCACUAGUACUUGAAACACAUAACACAACAACUGUAAGCAUAAAUGCUUAGUGGGUUUCCCAAAAUACCACAUACAACACAUACGCCACUCGAGGCUGUAAUACGACCCUCCGAUCGAUGUGUCUCAGCGGGAGCCUCCAGUCCCGUAGCUCAUUCGACCCUUCGGUCCGUUCUAUAUCAUCAUACAACAUACAAAUAUCACAUAGCACAUAAUCUCAUAGAUAACACAUAAGACCCUCUGGUCAUCGCAUAGUACCACUCUAGGUAACGUAUAGUGAGAAGACUCACCUCGAUGUCUCGGUAAAUAUCUGACUCGGAAGAAGUGUGAUCUAGCCUCCGCCGAAUCACAUAAAGCAAUACUCUGAUAAAUACUACUGUACUCAAUCCUAAAAGUCAACAAGGUCAACGGUCAAACUUUCACCCGAAUCGUCGAGUGCACUAGGGCGACUCGGCGAGUCUACACGUGUCCACUGGCUCUCUUAGAUCCUCUCAUGGCAUGUCGAGUACUCCCCUUGACUCGACGAGUUCCACCUGGCAUGAAUCGCGGGGCCACCCCGACUCAACUCUCAGAGUCUCAAGAACAACUCGGCGAGUUCCAACUUGAACUCAGACCCCUGACUCUCCCUGACUCACCGAGUCAUUCCCCCAACUCGACAAGUCCACUCACUAAGUGAUUAACNCCUUCAUACUACUCGCCAAGUCUGUUCUUCGGACUCGGCGAGUUCAUGCCAUGCACAAACUCAAAACAACUUCUGAGGUCAGAUCUAUUCCAUACAAUCAUAGAUCUGGCCUCCCCAAGCAUGAUAAUCACGUAAAGUUCGGACCUUGACACACACAUAACAUCUAAAUGGUCCAAAAUGAUGUUUUAGCCCCAAAAAUGACAUUCAAAGCUCAUGACUUCCAAAAUGACUCAUAAAGCUCCAAGGGUUAAGGUCUCUGGACCUCUUUGGGUCCAGAUCCAGAAUACAAACUUAAGAAGGAACCAAAUACACCACUUUAUCAACCUCUAAAAGGGUUAGAAAACCCUAACACAAAGAAUCAACACCAAAACUAAAGAAGGUCCGAGAAUAAUACCUCAAUACAAUCUCUAUGAGCUCAAAAACCACCAAAAUCGCACCUCCUCUUGCCUUGAACACUUCCUUCUUGCAAAACACCCACAAAAGUUCAAGAUUGGCCUCUCCUUCCUCACAAACGCUCUAGAUCUCUUUAGGGUUUCUCUUUGGGGGUUGGUGGCCGCAAAUGACGGCCAUAAGGCCCUUUAAAUAGGUCUCAAACCCCAGAAAUUAGGGUUUCAUUAAACAGUGUGGACUCAUGAACUCGCCGAGUCCAGCUGUGAACUCGCGUACAAAUCCGCGACCAUCCUCGGCGAGUCUAGACGCCAACUCGCCGAGUCUCCCCUCAACACCCAAAAUUAAAAGGGCAAAACAUCAUACCUGGGAAUCCGGGUGUUACAUUGGGCCUUCAUAUGGCCCAUCUGAUCACAUUGGUAUCAAAUACAUGCACCUAGUGAAGGGUUCUACUGUUACGGCUGCCGACAAUCCCUCCCCAAAAUGGCCCUCCCUGCCAUAAUUAUGGCACUUUGUCAUUGGUCGGCAGGCUCCCUCACUUGUCUUUCUACACCUACCACAUGUGCGACUCAUCUUCCAUCUAGAGCGAGAAUUAGUGGGCUUGACCCACUUCAUCGCCAUCUUCGACUAGAAUAGAGCCUGGUGUUGCUCCCUAACCUGAGUCUCGAUCUCAAUCUCUCUCUUUUGAGCAGUCGACUGUUGGUUGGAGAGAUUCUGGUAUUGCUGUGUGGAAAAAAACUCUUGCAUAUCAGUCUUUAGCAUGCCUAGAUAUCCCUACAUUUGAACGUGCUCGGAAGAUGCGUACUCAAGGCAGAAAAGGUGCCCACUAAGUGAACUUCUUGGUGAUCUCCAUCAGCGACAUAGUUGUCUGUUCGAGUUACAAAUAUUCCUAGGCUAACAACUCUCUCUCCAUGAAAGGCAGGCAAUCUUCAUGAAACAAGUCAAUAAACUAACCGCAAGUCAUUGUAGCCAUCUUUUUCGGUAAGUAAGAACCGGUCACAAGCUUCCACCUGUCCUUCGCUGUAACACCAUAAAAAUUUACAACCAAUUUAAAUUUUUCAAAAACAACCAUAUUCAUUAAGUUAUUACAAAAAGGUUUUCAAUUCAUUUAUUAUUAGAGUAUCCCAGAAACAUCAACAUAAAACCGAGGAGCGGUAGGAUCAUGCCUUCGCCUUGCUACGAUCUCCUAAAUUACCAGAAACAAUACACUGAAACUGUAAGCCGAAAGCGUAGUGAGUUACCCCCAAAAUGCUACAUACAACACAUACGCCCUUCCAGGCUAUAACAGCACGUACGCCCUUCAAGGCCAUAACAGCACAUACGCCCUUCUAGGCCAUAACUCCAUAGGAUCUUCCGAUCCAUAUGUCUCAAGGGAUUUCCAUCCCAUAACUCUGUUGACCUUCCGGUCCAAACUCUGUUGACCUUCCGGUCCAUAUCAUCUUGACCUUCUGGUGCUUACCAUACACAACAUACAUAGCACAUACAUAAAUAUCAUCUUAACCUUCUGGUCCUUAUCAUACAUGACAUACAUAGCAAAAUACAUAUCAUAUAAACGCAACUAUCAUAACAUCUAACAACACAUAUCUCAUACUCUUCAUAGCACAUAAGACCUUCCGGUCACACAUAUACCAUCCUAACUAUCAGGAUACCGACCUUAACCAUGUCCCUAACGUAUACCAUCUUAACUACCAGGAUAUCGACCUUAACCAGGUCCGUAACGUAUACCAUCCUAACUACCAGGAUGCAAACAUAGUAAAGCAAUAACAUAACAACAAUACCCGGAUUUCCAUCCGAUAGAGAGCCGACCUUGGUGCCGUAGACCCUGUCAGUAUAGUGAGGAUAAGUCACCUGCAACUGCCGACUAAAGAAUAAGAUCACGCUGCUCCGACAACCGACACGAACUCCACCACUGAAAAUUACCAAAUAACCAACACCAAUAAAUACCAAUAAUUACCAAAAUACCCCAGGAAGUCAUCUGGUCUGCCUUGGUCAAAGUCCAAGUCCUCAGUCAAAGUCAACGUUCCUGGUUGACCCUACUCGCCGAGUCAACCUGUUGACUCGUCGAGUUCCCAUACUCAAAACUCCCAUAUCAUGACUCAACUUGCCGAGUCACCCCAAGACUCGUCGAGUUCAACAAUCUCUGAGUCCCAUCCUGCUCCACUCACCAAGUCGUCCCUCGACUAACCGAUUCACGGCUUAACCAGAAAAGGUUAUGGUUCCAUGACCAGACUCGCCGAGUCCAAGAACAGACUCGUCGAGUCCAAGGGAAUCUUCAACAGACUCCCCGAGUUGUUCUUCCAACUCGCUGAGUCUACACGUGACAUCUUUAAUCAGAUGAUCACAGGCCAUUCCAUUGCUUCCAAUACACAGAUCUGGACUCCUAGGGCCAGAUUCACACGUAAAGUUUCCAACUUUAUGCGCAUGCAAGGCUCAACAAGCUAUAAUCAAGCUAAAAUGAAGGAUUAAGGCAAGGAAACUCUCAAUCAAGCCCCAAAGCUAUCACUUUCCAGAUUCAUGAGUUAAGACCAGUCUAGAUCUAGAGUAGCAACCCCAUAUCUGAACCCAAUACUCGAAAAGAGACUCAUGUAUGACAAUUUCGCCCUAAAAAUUCAUCCAUGAACAAUAUAAGCACAACAAAGUCAAGGAAACAACUUUUUACCUUCAAUUUGAUGCCAACUAGCAAUGAGAUCAGAUCCAGUUAGCUCCUCUAUGAUCCCACCAACUCUUGCUUCAAGUAUCCUUCUUCUCUAAGCUCCAAAAGACAGUUAAAUCCUUCUCACUCUCAAAUUUGGUUUUGAAAUGGAUGGGGAAAGCUUUUAGACAUCAAAGGGAAUGCUAAAGAGCCUGGGGUGGGGGCUUAAGGUUCCUUAUAUAGGGUGUAAACCCUAGGAAUUAGGGUUUCUCAUUCCAGCACGGACUCGUCGAGUCUAGCCUCCGACUCGGCGAGUCCGGUCACUUAACAUGUGCCCGACACACGCUUAGACUCGACGAAUUGCAGCUCCUACUCGUCGAGUUCCUUUUUUCCAAACCUACACUUUACCCCCUGAACUCUUGAUUCUGACUUGGGAUGUUACAAUUCUACCCCACUUAAAUUAGGCUUCGCCCUCGAAGCUUGCUGCAACACACAAUUCUAGAUAAUACUCCCACAAUGCACCUCCUGGUAUCAAUCGACCCAGGUUCCUCCGAACACUGCUAUCAACCUCUAUAAAUUCCAACUCUCUCCUAAUAGAGUAACGACAACUGAUUCAAGUCGGCCACCGACAUCUUUCACUGAUAUCAACACUUAUCAACCAAUGAUCACCCAAUGAUACUUCCAUCAUUCCAAAUCACACCAAUCACUUGACUCUUAAAAAGUUAUAUAUCUCCCUGAACCACUGGGUACUGACUCGAUACCAAGCUGCUACCCCUUUCCUCGACUGGCAGAUCCUUUAUCGAAUUCACUUCUGGGACUUAUCUCGCUUCCUUUCCGAAUCCAAAUCUUUUCAUUCCAUUCUGACAGGAUGACACAUCCCUCAGCUCCUGAACAACUCCCAUGAGCUCUCUUCUCCAAUCACAUACACAUGUUGAGCCUGCUGUACAUCCUCGGGUUGGAAAAACCCGAAACACGAACGAUACCAUCACACAUCCCCAGGAUGAAUUACCACUAUAUACAUAACCCAUGAUCGCUCCCAUACAUAGGUUCUAAGGACCUACCCUUGCAUCCCUUCCAGACCCCUCAGGUCGUAUACAGCCGAAAUUCAUUCCGCGACCUCAACAGACACCCAAAUCGGAUGUGCUCCCAAACCACUGGCACAAUCACGGUGCUCAACAACGAUAAUUGAAAUACUCUGAAUCAUCCAUUCUCACUGCUACUCUCACUUCCGUGAACUAACACUCCCUCCCGGAGUUACAUACCUUUCCUUUUCCUUAUCCAACGAAAUCUACUUGCCAACCUUGCCACUUCAGACAAGUGCCACGGUGCUCACACCCCACUCUACACUAUCCCUUGUAGAGUAAUCGGUAUUUUAUGCAUCACAUAUACUCUAAAUCUGAUCACAAGGACUAUCGAAGUCCAUAAAGCACCUUUCACUAACAUGAUCAAAACCCGGGGCUAGACCUACUGUUUGCUAUUGCAUGGCGACAUAAUCACCCAUUCUCCGCAUAUAGAUCCACUAUCGCAUACAGAGUCUUUAUCAUAACUGGACCCCCUUACCAGGCCUUCGGCCUAACUGGAACGCCUUCCGUCCUGACUGGUACGCCUUCCGGCCUUCAGUCUCCCUGGUCCGCUCAAAGUAUCCAUACAUCAUCCCAAACUAUUCCUCCUAGGAAUCUCUCCCAUACAUACUGUUCUAGCCCUCUAGGGGUUCCGAAAUCCAACUCUAUUCCAUAUACUCAGAUUCCGGCCUAAUCCUAGGCCUCACAACAACUAAUCACCCUUUCCGAAAUCCUUGGUUUGUACUCUGCCCCACUAGUCUGUCACGUACUCAUACCAGCCCACACUCUUGGCUAACUGAAACACUGCUGGAUCCCAACCAGCGAAUCAAACUCUAACGCUUAUUGACCCUUCUGAGAAUCUUCUAAUUCUCUCCCACUUGGAGCACUGACUCCCAUUCACCGGUGACCCAACCGACAUCACUUAACAACCCUACUCAACAUAUUCCCCUUAUCCACGAACUGAUUCCCUCUAAACGAGCAACCUCCACAAAAUCACUUCUCAACAUCGGACAUCACAAACUCUAAGGGAGUUCGAGUAUCCGCGGAACACUUCUCAAAACGCAAUUGCUAUACCCGACAUCCUGACCGAAAAGCCUAGUUCAACACCAACCAUCCUCCUGGAUGCUAACCAACUACGACUCCCAAUACCAAAACCCUCAAUCAUACAAUAACCAGGCAAAAACACGAAGAAAUACAAUAUCAUGAAUCAUGCAAAUAAGACUAGCAGAUAUACAAUGCUCCUCAAUGAUCGCAAGAUGACAAGAUGACAAAAAGAAAACAUACUCGCAGCUACAUCUAGCUCUACCCUGACCGCCUCUGCAGUAAGCUGGAAAGCUUGACUCUGAGCCCUCAAAGGCUCCACUCCACCCAGGCCCCUGCCUGUAAUCCUCAAAGUGGCCGGUGUAGGAGCCUGCACAUGUCUAGCAACAAGUUGUGGACAGUUCGCCCUCAGGUGGCAACCCUGAUGGAAAAGAUAACAAAUCCUCACAUCCUAAACCGGGGCUGACUGUCGACAAUACCUCACAUAAUGCCCCUCUCUCAUGCACAUGCAACAUGCACCACCGAACCUACAAACUUUGGUAUGACCCUUCCCGCAACUCUCACAAGUGCGGCCGCUUUGACUGUCCAAUCUGGAAUCAACGGUCUUGGACCGUUUCGGCGCCGACUGCGACUGCACCAGCGCCUGCCUCUGCUCUCUCAAUGGCAACUCAAUCUCCAACUCAUGUCGCCGGGUGGCCUCCUACAACUCCAGCAAGGUCUCGCACCUCUACGUAGACACAAACUACCUGAUAUCCCUCUAAAGCAUACUUAGAUAUCGGAGCAUCUGACUCUGCUCCUAAACAAACUCAGGGCAAAACAUCGCCCUCUCAGUGAACAUCCUGGUGAUCUCCGUCAACGACUCCGAAUCCUGCUCUAGUUCCAAGAAAUCAUGAUCCAACCUCUCCCUCUCAACCCGUGGAACAUAACGGGUACUGAACAUCUUCCGGAACUGAUCCCAUGUAACUGUAGCCCGUUGCGCAUCAGAAUAUGAUCCUGUAAUCAACCUCCACCAAUCCUUUGCCCCGAGCCAUAAAAGGUUCAGAGCACACCAUACCCUCUGAUCCGCCGGGCAUGAACACAUGAAGAAAUAACCCUUCCACAUCUGACAACCACCCCAUAGCAAUGAUUGGAUCCUAAACUCCAUCAAAGGUAGGGGGCUUCGUAUUAUCGAAGUCUCGACACUGAAAAUCUCGACCGACUCCUCCACCUGUCACUGCUACAGUCACUACAGCUGCCGCGGCAGCCGUCUCUGCAAGAGCUGCAUAGCGCUCUUUAAAAUACCUAACCACGGCGGUCUUGAUCGACCCAAACAUCUCCGACAAUCAGCCCGGAACAUAGCAGCAACCUCAUCAUGCAGGAUCUCACGAAUCCUGGCAUCCAACUCAUCCGUACUCAUCUGACCAAUGACCUUGGGAGGUGCUGAUCCACCCUGAACACCCUCUCCUGAUCCCAAUCCUGAUCCGGACCCAUCCUCGACAUGCCUCGUAACCACCAUACUGGAAAUACACCGCCAGAAAAUUAGAUUCUUCCCCAAUAACCCGAGAACCAACUCCCAACCCGACCUUAGGGGUUGUGACUUCCUCGAUACACAUAUGGUUCCUAUGCUUUCAGUAGUACAGUCCCAUACUAUCUUCCACACCUACCCAUAUGUGUGUCAAGUAUCACCACAACACCCUAACGAUAAACAUAUGCAUGGCAACCUCUCGAUCCUCACCUCUGGAGGAACUGCUAACUACCUCACUUAACAGGAAUCCCUAGGCUAAAAGGCAUCAUAUAAUCAGGCAAUUCUGUCAUGCAAUUCUUGAAGAUCCCUAGCCUGGUACUAGCAUGCUGUUCUAACAUAUCACAUAAUCAAAUAACUUGUAUGGUAUUUUGGGGUCCACUUACUGGCUCUGGCUGAUCGUACCCCUGCAUCCUCCUUUACUUCUUUGAAAACCAUUUUAAAUUCACUUGAAAACUUCCCUUGAUUUGAGACUGGAUUCACAUGAAUGUUCUUCCAAUUCACUCAAACCAAGGCUCUGAUACCAACUUGUAACACCAUAAAAAUUUACAACCAAUUUAAACUUUUCAAAAACAACCAUAUUCAUUAAGUUAUUACAAAAAGGUUUUCAAUUCAUUUAUUAUCAGAGUAUCCCAGAAACAUCAACAUAAAGCCAAGGAGCGGUACGAUCACGCCUUCGCCUUGCCACGAUCUCCUGAAGUACCUGAAAUAAUACACUAAAACUAUAAACCCGAAAGCUUAGUGAGUUACCCCCAAAAUACUACAUACAACACAUACGCCCUUCUAGGCCAUAACAACACGUACGCCCUUCUACGCCAUAAAAACAUAUACGCCCUUCCAGGCCAUAACUCCAUAGGAUCUUCCAAUCCAUAUGUCUUAAGGGAUUUCCAUCCCAUAACUCUGUUAACCUUCCGGUCCAUACUCUGUUGACCUUCCGAUCCAUAUCAUCUUGACCUUCCGGUCCUUACCAUACAUACCAUACAUAGCGCAUACAUAAAUAUCAUCUUAACCUUCCGGUCCUUAUCAUACAUGAAAUACAUAACACAUACAUAUCAUAUAACCGCAUAUAACAUAAUGACCUUCCGGUCCAUAAUGUACUGCUCAUAUCAUAACAUAACACAUACAACUCUCAUAACAUCUAACAAUAUAUAUCUCAUACUCUUCGUAGCACAUAAGACCUUCCGGUCACACAUAUACCAUCCACUCUAUCAGGAUACCGACCUUAACCAGGUCCCUAACGUACACCAUCCUAACUACCAGGAUACCGACCUUCACCAGGUCCCUAACGUAUACCAUCCUAACUACCAGGAUGAAAACAUAGCAAAGCAAUAACAUAACAACUGUUGGAUUAAUGUCUAAGUCCAUAACUAUAUUUGGUAUGUACUUGACCCGACCCGGCAUGGUCCAUUUGGGUUGCACUUCACCGACACAAUUUAUAUGGAUAAUCUUUUGAGAAUAGUAUGUUUAUGAUUAAUAUUAAUAUAUUAUAAGUUCUAAUAUAUUAAUAUGGAAUCAUAUUAUUUAAUUAGUAUUGAUCAAGAAUUAAUUUAUAAUUAAUUAAGUGAUCAAAAGGAACUAAUUAAAUAUGGACUCUUAUAUAUAUGGAAUGGGCCAAGUUCAUUUAGGUUGGGCUAAGCUUUCAUGGAUAGUCCAUGGAGUGUUUAACCCAUGGAUCCUAGGAAAUGAAAGGUCAUGGGUAUUAGGGUUUAACCCUAAUCCUCCAUACUAUAUAAAGAUGUCUUUGGUUGGUGAAAUUGGCACUAGUGUGGAUACACUAAAGAAGGGCUAGCCAAUUUCACUAGAGAGAACCAAGUAAUCAUAUUCUCUAAAGUAUUCCAAGGUGUCUUGGUGAUUUGUGAUUCCACUUGAGGCUUCCACACUAUUGGGGCUAAGCUCUUAAAGCUUGAAGACAUCAAGCUACAUCAAGAGGUAUGUAUUCUAUCUUGUUACAUUCAUAGUUUUUGUAUGCUAGAUUAGGAUAAUACCUUGGAUGUUCUUAUUUGCAUGUAUAAUAGAGAAAACAUAGAUCCAAGGUAUUUAGGGUUGCAUGUACACUUAGGAAGUGUUAGAAUGCUCAAAACCCAACAGUGGUAUCAGAGCCACGGGUUGUUUUCUGUUAUAUUGAUGCAAAUAUUUUAUUUUCAAAGUUGAAAAAAAAAAAAAAAAAAAACAUGAAGUUUGUCAAAUUUUAAGAUAAUUACUUGUUCUUGUGAAAAACUAAUUAUUUGUAAAAUUUGAAUAAUUUGCUUUAUGAGUUGAAUUAGGUCAAAUUUAAUAAAAGAUAAAAUAAUAUGAUUAUUUUAUUAGUUUUAAAAGUUUGAUCUAAAGAGUUUUAUUUUUUGAAACCUCCAUAAGUUAUGGAUAUGAAAAGGUUUUAAAAAAAAAAUUGAUUCAAAGUUUUUUUGGAGUUACAAAAUUUGGUGUUAAUGUUUUAAAGGAUUCCAUAACUUAAGAAUAAGUUAUGGAUCACCAAAAGUUUUUUGUGUUACCUUGUUUUAUGAGUGAAUUUAGAUUAAUGAAUAAAAUUAUGUGAUAGUUGGUUUUAAUCCAAAUUAAUCUAAGAAUUGAUUCUAAAAUGUGUUUUUGUAACUUGUCCUCAAGUUAUAUGAAAAGUCACAUUUAAGAAUCAUAAAACUCAUAAAAAUUGGCAAAGGUUACAAAAAUGAAGAGUCUAGUUCUAAUUAAAUGGUUUUAUGACUCCAUAACUUGUCCUCAAGUUAUGGAGGACCAAGAGUCUCUUCAUUUAAUAAAAUAAAAUAAAAAAAAAAAAAGUGUAACCUUAAUUAAUUCCAUAAGUUAUAAAAUAAAGAAAAGUUAAUUCUUUUAUUAGUUUAAAGUCUUCCAUAACUUGUCCUCAAGUUAUGGAACUUGAAGAGUUUUUGGAUUAAAACUACUUUAAACACAUAAGUUAUGGAAUUAAUUAGUUUUGAAUAGUUUCAAAACUUGCCCUCAAGUUUUGGAAUUUGUAAAGUUUUCACUUAUGAAUACUUUAAUUCCAAGUUAGCCCUUAGAAUUUUAAAAGUUAAAAUUCAACCCUUAUACUUUAUAAUAUUAUAAGUUAAUAAUAUAUAUAUGUAUAAGAGUAAAGUCAGUCUUACCGCUAGUACGCCUCAUUCACGAAGCCGGUCUAUAAGGUGGGUAUAAGGUUGUUGCCUAUAAAAUGGCAACUUAAUGGGUGUCCACUCUCACCCACCGCUUGCUUGACUGGUGGAGGGUCGUUAGCCGAACGGGUUUGACAGGACUAGAAUUCUCCCUUCAUUAAAAGUAUUAAUGAUAAUACUAAGUAACUAAACUCUUAAUAAUACCCAAUCUUAGUUACUUAGGAAAAAUGUGAAUAAGGUGCUAAUCCAUGAAAUUACACUUUACACUUUGUCUAAGUCGUUAGUGGAGCGUGUGUGGUUAACCGGCACACUAACUUGGACUUAACAAGGUAGGUAAAGGGUGACUUAAUAUUUAUCAUAGUAUCGAUGGAGCGUGUGUGGUUAACCGGCACAUCGAUUGAGGGGUAAUUUAUUAAGGGUACCAAGUGAUUUGCAUGGUUACUUCACACCUUGUUUUGUGAUCCUCGGCAUCCCAGUCACAAAACCUGAAGGGCACACUCGAGAUUGAAACAUGCCUUUGAAAAGUUCAAUGAAUCUCAAAGAUCUAGGAGUUUCAAAACCAAUUAAAACCUAAUAAUACAUUUCGUUUAUCUUGGUGGAAAUUGGUGAAUCGUCAUUCACCUACCUUCAAAUAUUUUAUAGCUUGGAUUACGGCAUACCUCUUCUAAGUUAUAAAAUAGUUUGUUGGGUCCUAGCCUUAAUAUUUCAUAUUGGGUGUCAUAUUAAGGACUUUAAAUCAACUAUCUUGAAUAUCUCCCAAAAGAUGUCUGUAAUAGACACCUAUGAUCUUCCCAAAUCUAGUGAAACAAGGUUUCCUAAAUGAAGAUGAUGUCCUUUGGAAAUCAUACUUCUUUCACCUCCUCCAAUUAUUCUCCCUAACCCACAAGUUCUUGAAAAGUUUAAGGUCACUCAAGCCCUAUUGGCAAGGCAAGGUCUAGGUGUGAUCACAUCUUGGAGAUGUAGUCACAUAUUGACAAGCCGGGAGAGUUGGGUGUCAAAGUCUUGAGAAAGUUGGUGGUUCAAUCACUUUCUAAGUCACAUAGUGAGUUCCUUUGGGACACCUAUGAAACAGACUAUGACAAGACCCUUAAUGAUCUUAUCUAUUUGCUAAGAUCAACUUCCUAAAACUUUAUGGACAUUGACAAUGAUGACAUUGGAUAUCCAGUAAAGCAUUCUCUUCCCAAUGGAAAGGGAUCGGCCAUAGUCAACUCGGUUGACCAAAUGGUAAAGAGAAAAGCUAAGUCUGUGAUAGUCUCGUGUACCAUUAUCAAAGGGUCCAUAUGUUUAUAUUGCCAAGGGAAGGGGCAUUGGUUGCGAAGCUGCCAAAUUUACCUAAGGAUGUUAAAGUCAAUAAGUUUGACUCUACUUCAGGUAAAGACCACUAUCUAACUCUGUUAAGUUUCUAUUCUGAGAUUCCUGAUACAUGAUGUGACUGGGUCACAUGGUGAUGUUUUAAGAAUCAAAGAAAAGUGAAGAAACUUAAAGAAAGAAUAUGCUGAAUCUGAUGGCGUAGAUGGAUUUCUAUCGCAUAGUUUGAAGAUCGGAUUCUUGAGCAACUUCUUAGGAGUUAUGAGAUAUUGCUUAGGAAUAGAUAACAACAAGUUUUCAUAUGGAUUGUAAGGAUAAGUUUUUCCGCAAAGUUUUAAAAUAAAAGAAAAUUUUUUUGAUUUUAUUUAUUUUAAAAUAUCCUUACAAUGGCUUUUGAGGAAAAAUUGUUGCUUAUAUGAUUCCAUUAAGAGCAAGAGUGGAAAUAUGAAAUUGAUUCUUUCAUUUGUGGUAAUGUCUAGAUUUACCAAAUAAGGAAAGAUUCUCAUCACCCAAGUUUCAAUUGGACCGGAACUUGGAAUCAUGCAAGUUGUAUAGCAUGAUGAAUGAGAACUUUCAAGUUUUGGAAAAUUAAGACUAAUUACUCGGCCACAUGGAUGUGUGAGUCAAGUAAAGGACUAAGGGAUCGAGUACACAUUCUUGUGCACUGAUUAAGUCCACCACAAAAGAUUGAUAAGACUAUUCGUCAUAGUUUACUAAAGCUCAGUAAAUAUGAUUAUACUUACAAGCUUAAGUGUAACUCUGAGACAUUGGAAAAGGUUCCAAUGUAUGGCAGGGCGAAUAAGAAGAAUCAAAUAAGGCAGAAGGAUAAAAGUUUCUCAAAUCUGAAAAGAUGGGAGAGUACUUUAGUAUCAGUUUUGUGAUCAUCUUAAUGAUUAAGAAACCAUAUCAAAAUUAGUUCUCUAAGGAAAUCUUAGUGCAUUCUUAUGACUAAGAAGAGGAACUUGAAUUGUUGAAAUGGUUAAAUCAAGAAGAUGAGUCAUACUUCGUUCCAAUACAAGUCUUAGAGUCAUACUCCAAGAUUGUCAUUUGAGUGACAUGUCUUAAAGAAGGUUUAAAACACUUGUCAAAUGUAAGAGUAAAAGUUUUCUACUCUUGUACAUUUGAAAUUGGUAAGUUGUGAUGUUUUGGAUAAAACAAAGACCAACUUAGGCCAAUUGGGUAAAGUGUUUUUCUUGAUUAGAAUCCGCACUAUCUCUUGGAUGUUUGACAAGGGAGUCUUAUAUGUCAAGAGGACAGUGGGAGUCUUAAAGGUCUUGAAAGUCUCAAGAACUAAUCAAGAAUAAAACCUGAAGUUCUUCACUAGCACACGACUUGAGGUUUAUAACCUAUCGUGUUGACAUAUUCUGUGCCCAUUCCAGUUAAAGUUGGCUUUGCAUAUGAGUUCUUAGAGUUCUCAAUUUGUUGCACAACAACUUGGAAGCAAUGGUAGGCCCUUGAGCUGCCAGGUGGCAAGAAAUUAAGAUUGAGUUCAGUCCAUAUGAGUUUGGAUUUGUCAUUAUCCUUGUCUUGUGACUAUGAUUUUGACAAUUCACAUGGAUAAGAACACAUACACCAUUAAAUCUAAGUGUCAUAAGGUUUCUCUCCGAUUCAUGAAAAUGAUGGUGAGGAAACACUUUCACUAAGUAGAUUUUAGCUAGAUAGCAAUUGUGAUAUUUGCAUUCUCAAAGUCGUUAGUGGAGCGCGUGUGGUUAACCGGCACACUAAUUUGGACUUGUGAGAAGUGGCAAAAAGGUCUAAACAUUAUGAUUACGGCAUCCCUCUUCAUAAUUGUUUAGAUACACAAGUGUGCUAUCUAAGGGAAGGUGUAUGAUUUUGAUAAAGCUUUAUCAAAACAAUCUAGCAUCAGAAAUCUGAACUUUGGUAAGAAAGUCAAUGAAGUAUUGAUUUCUAGAAGUCCAGCUGAUUUCUGAGUACAUGUCAAAGCUAGUGGGAGCAUAAGUGUUAUGCUAAUAAUCAUCAUGUUAGUGGGAGCAUGAUAAUUAUGAUAAGUAUUGCAAGUUAGCAAUGUUAAUUAUAGAAAACAAAAGUUUCAAUUGGGAAAAAGUUGUUUUGCUAUAAUUAAGGGAGAGGAAAUUAUACUUCAUCUCAAAUCUAUAAGCUUAGAUCGUGAGGUUUUAAUCAUUUAGUCAAGGAUAUAUAUGAAUUUCAUGUUGGAAUGGCUCAACAUAAGGAAAUUCUGUAUAUGGGUCCAUUAUUUGCGUUCUAAAAUUCGAUUAUGAUUACGGCAUCCCUUUUCAUAAUCUGAAUUAUGAGAACUUGGCAAAUUGAAAUGGAAAUAUUAUAGCAAAAGACUGGUUUAGUCUUUAUGUAAGACAUCAUGAAUCGUGUCCCAUAUGCUUCGGAUAUAGGAUCGAUUACAUGUGCUAUAUUCAUCCGUUCUAAAAUUUUCCAAAUGCCUGGGGCAUUAAGAAGGGAAAAGGUUUAGAACUGGAUAUGACUAAAAGGAUUAAACAAUUGUCGAGGACAAUCUAAGGUUUACCAAAGAUUGGUUGCUCAAGGACAGUUGGAAGUAUAGUGAUAAUUCUGGAAGGACCAUAUUGACAUAAUCUGUAAGGAGGCAACUCUUGUUCAGAAGUGAUAGUCAAAAUGGAAUCUGGAAAUGUUUCAAAGUUAGAAUUUUCAAUCUGUUUAAGAUUAGGAAACUUAAUGCAAGAAGGAUGUUUCCAAGGAGCUGAUCUCCUUUGGAAUACUCUGUAAUGAUUGUUGUCAAGUCUUUCUGACUUUGUGCAUAAUCAUUACAAGAGGAUCAAUGCAUAUAAGUUUAGAAUCUAACAGAUUUCAGUAAAUGGCAUGAAUUUGGAAUUCUUGCAUUUGCAGUAAGGAUUUGGGAGUGUGAAAAGAGAAUCAUUGAAGUUAUGUUCAAUUGAUCUAGUUCACAAAGUAAAGAUCAUAGACAAACAUAGUAUGCAUACUUGGUGUGUGGCAUGACUAGUGUUUAAGAAAACAUAGUGUACAUGCUUGGAGCAUGGGACAACUAUUGUUUUAAAUUCAAGAAUAAAGUUGAUAGCUGAAACAGUAUACAAUGAAUAAUGUGUAAUCAUAUGGUGAUAAAUAAAAGGUGUUUUAUUUAUGUUCAAAGAUUUGAUACCAUAUUGGAUUCAAUUAUUAUUGUGUUUCACUUUGCAUGUUUUGACUUCCCGAAUAAACUAGGUUAUUCUUCCGGAAUGACUAAGUUAUUCAAACCAUCCACAGUCGGUCAUAUGUUGGAAGUAGAUAUGAAUUAAGACUGUCAUGGGUUGGCUUGUAGAGGUCUAAGGUGUUGGACAAAGGGCUACAACACUCAUGAGUGCUCAUAAGUUCUGAGUAUUGGAUUCAACCCGCGCUCAUUGGAAUCACUUCAUGGAUUUUAUCACGAGUGAUCAUGAGACGAUAAUAUCUUAUAUUCUUCAAACCUAGAGAUAUGAGUUGUUACUAUGAGUUGGUUGUACAUUGAUUGCACGAAAACGCAUUUGGUAACUCGGUGCUAUAAAACGUGCCUUUGUGUAUGAUUCAACAAGUAGUAGAACAAGCCAUAUGAGUCGAAGUUUAUCCAUUCCUUUUACCUUCGGGAUAAAAGCGAUAUCUGUGGGCCCCUCGAUGAUUUGAUGAUGACAAAUGGAAGUGCUCGGCCGGGCCAGGACUGAUUUGAUUUGUUCAAUUAGUCAGUCGUCAUAAAUCGGAAAUCGGGAAACAACAAAUGGACAGAGAGAAUGAUUAUAAUCCAUGUCUCAGUCCAUAUGAUAUCUAGAAUGGAGGAAUAUAUGAUCCCUUAUCUAAUGGACAAGUUCGUUGACAAGAUCAGAGUUCGACAGCAGCUUUAAGAGCUACGAUUGCCAGUUAGGUUUGAAGUCAUACGCAAUAAUAGUUUUAGACUUAUCCAAGUGGGAGACUGUUGGAUUAAUGUCUAAGUCCAUAACUAUAUUUGGUAUGUACUUGACCCGACCCGGCAUGGUCCAUUUGGGUUGCACUUCACCGACACAAUUUAUAUGGAUAAUCUUUUGAGAAUAGUAUGUUUAUGAUUAAUAUUAAUAUAUUAUAAGUUCUAAUAUAUUAAUAUGGAAUCAUAUUAUUUAAUUAGUAUUGAUCAAGAAUUAAUUUAUAAUUAAUUAAGUGAUCAAAAGGAACUAAUUAAAUAUGGACUCUUAUAUAUAUGGAAUGGGCCAAGUUCAUUUAGGUUGGGCUAAGCUUUCAUGGAUAGUCCAUGGAGUGUUUAACCCAUGGAUCCUAGGAAAUGAAAGGUCAUGGGUAUUAGGGUUUAACCCUAAUCCUCCAUACUAUAUAAAGAUGUCUUUGGUUGGUGAAAUUGGCACUAGUGUGGAUACACUAAAGAAGGGCUAGCCAAUUUCACUAGAGAGAACCAAGUAAUCAUAUUCUCUAAAGUAUUCCAAGGUGUCUUGGUGAUUUGUGAUUCCACUUGAGGCUUCCACACUAUUGGGGCUAAGCUCUUAAAGCUUGAAGACAUCAAGCUACAUCAAGAGGUAUGUAUUCUAUCUUGUUACAUUCAUAGUUUUUGUAUGCUAGAUUAGGAUAAUACCUUGGAUGUUCUUAUUUGCAUGUAUAAUAGAGAAAACAUAGAUCCAAGGUAUUUAGGGUUGCAUGUACACUUAGGAAGUGUUAGAAUGCACAUAACCCAACAACAACAAUACCCGGAUUUCCAUCCGAUAGACGGCCGACCUUGGUGCUGUAGACCCUGUUAGUAUAGUGACGAUAACUCACCUGCAACUGUCGAUUGAAGAAUAAGAUCACACUGCUCCGACCACCGAAACGAACUCCACCACCGAACAUUACCAAAUAACCAAAACCAAUAAAUACCAAUAAUUACCAAAAUACCCCUGGAAGUCAACUGGUCAACCCUUGGUCAAAGUCCAAGUCCUCAGUCAAAUUCAACCUUCCUGGUUGACCCUACUCGUUGAGUCAACCCGUUGACUCAUCGAGUUCCCAUACUCCAAACUCCUAUAUCACGACUCAACUCGCCGAGUCGCCUCAAGACUCAUCGAGUUCAACAAUCUAUGAAUCCCAUCCUGCUCAACUCACCGAGUCGUUCCUCGAAUCACCGAUUCACGGCUUAACCAGAAAAGGUUAUGGUUCCAUGACCAGACUCGCCGAGUCCAAGGAAAUCUUCAACAGACUCGCCGAGUUGUUCUUCCAACUCGCCGAGUCCACACGUGACAUCUUUAAUCAGACGAUCACAGGCCAUUCCAUUGCUUCCAAUACAUAGAUCUGGACUCCCAGGGCCAGAUUCACACGUAAAGUUUCCAACUUUACGUGCAUGCAAGGGUCAACAAGCUCUAAUCAAGCUAAAAUGAAGGUUUAAGGCAAGGACACUCUCAAUCAAGCCCCAAAGCUAUCACUUUCCAGAUUCAUGAGUGAAGACCAGUCUAGAUCUGGAGUAGCAACCCCAGAUCUGAACCCAAUGCUCGAAAAGAGACUCAUAUGUGACAAUUUGGCCCUAAAACUUCAUCCAUGAACAAUCUAAGCACAACAAAGUCAAUGCAACAACUUUUUACCUUCAAUCUGAUGCCAACAAGAAAGGAUAUUAGAUCCACUUAGCUCCUCUAUGAUCCCACCAACUCUUGCUUCAAGUAUCCUUAUUCUCCAAACUCCAAAACACACUUAAAUCCUUCCCACUCUCAAAUUAGGGUUUGAAAUCGAUAGGGAAAGCUUCUGGACAUCAAAGGGAAUGCUAAAGAGGCUGGGGGGGGGGCUUAAGGUUCCUUAUAUAGGGUGAAAACCCUAGGAAUUAGGGUUUCUCAUUCCAGCACAGACUCGUCGAGUCUAGCCUCCGACUUGGCGAGUUCAGUCACUUAACAUAUGCCCGACACACGCUUAGACUCAUCGAGUUGCAGCUCCUACUCGCCGAGUUCCUCUUUUCCAAACUUACAAAUUACCCCCUGAACUCUUGAUUCUGACUUGGGAUGUUACAUUCUCCCCCAAGCGUAGGAGGUUCAUGGCACACUUGACCUUCUGGUCCUCAGGACAAGAACACGUGAAGAAACAGCCCUGCAUGUCAGAAAAUCAUCUCAUCGCUACAAUUAGCUCCAUGACACCAUCAGAUUAUGGAGGCUUCGUGUUACUGAAGUUGUAACACUAGAAAGAUCCUCCUACUCCAGCAGCAGCGAAUGUUGUCAUGGCUGCGAUAACGACAACUUGUGGCACAACAGCAUAACGCUCAUCGAAGAGCUCAAUCAUAGUGGCCUUCACCUACCCAAACAUCUCCGGGAUAGCACCCCAAAUAGCUGCAACUACCUCUGCCAAGAUCAACUCAUGAAUCUCAUCAUCUAGUACAACCAACCUCACUGGAUCACCACCUCCUAAACCGCCAACUUUGGAUCUCGCAUCUCUAGUAACCACUCUGCUGAAAAAUAAACAUAAAUUCAUCAGAUCACCAAUAGAUUAACUCCCUAUAGCUCACAUAUCUCAACCUCGGAUCUUUUUGGUUUCCUUGACACACGUAUGGUUCCUAUUCUUUUAGCAGUACGAGCUUAUACUACCUUACAUACCUACCCGUAUUUGUCUUAGUAAUAGCCACAAAGUGUAACACCCCGUUUAUUAAAGAAAUGAAUAAACAAAUUAAUGAAUGGAUAGAAGCCCUAAAAUUUAUAAUUAUAUAGCAAGGUGUUGUUCUCAAGGAGUUAACUGUCAUAAUUUUAGAAGGCAGGGAUUAAAGUGUAAAAUUCGAGACUUAUUUUGUAAAGAUUUUUAGAAGACAAGGGGUGUUAGGUAUCAUGUGGACUUAAAUUGAAAAGGUUUUAUAGAGGAGGAGUCAUUUGGUAACAUAAGGACUUCACAUGGAAAUAGUUUAUAGAAGGAGGGAUUGUUAGGUAAAUUUCAGAUUAGAUUUGAAAGGGGUUUUCGAGGUCAGGGUUUAAAUGGUAAAUAUGGGGGUUUUUUUCGAAAUUUUUUUGGAGGGAGGGGCUGAACUUGUCAUUAUGGAAACAAGUUUGGGGAAUCGAGGUAUUUAAACCCGUCACCCCGUUUUGAUCAGCCAAUGGACAGAACAACCACCGAAGGCUCUUGUUGUCCGCAUUACCGGAGACCGUUGGGAACCCGGAAGACGCCACAACAACUGGAGAUUGGAGGGGCAAUGUCGAUGUCCAAGUUACCACCUCGUUGCUACCGCUGUGGUCAAUUCCAACGAGAAGACGAGUCCGCCGAUAGUUGUCGUUGCUGAAGAAGAAGACGGAGUGCUUCCUGAUGUUGUUUCUGUCGCACAUUCUCUCUACCGUGUUGUUGUUGUUACCGAAGUUGUUGUUGCUGUCGUCACUGCCUUAUCUUGUCACCACCAGCCGCCAUGGGAGGUGGCUGUGAGUUUGUGUGGGUGUGCGUUUACCCUUCAAGUUCGUGUGUUGUGUUGCUGCAUGAUUGGAUGACAAAAGAUACCACUGCCACCAGCAUGAGGUGGUGCCUUCCAUCUAAAAAUCAUUAUUGUCGUCGCCGUGAGCCACUAAGUGGGUGGCUGGAGUGUAUGUUGGGUGUUUUGUUUAGCCGGAGUUCACGGAAAAGCCACCACCACCAUGAGGUGGUGGCUUCCACCUUGUGCGACCGCCGGCCACCAUUAGGGUGGUUGUGUAUGUGUGUUUAACAUUAUUGUGUGUGUCAUUUUGGAGAUUAGCAAUGUAAAAUUUAAUUAGAAAUGUGAAUAAUGAAAAGAAACUCUAACCACCACCAUAAGGUUGUGGCUGGCGCCCCCCCCCNGUGGUUGUCACCUCCUACCGCCACCAGCCGCAGUGUUGGGUGGCGGUGUGCUUUGAUUGCGUUUGGACCUCGUUUAAGAUGCUUGAAACCCUAAUGGGAUUAAGGAUUUAGCUUUUGGGCCUAAUUGGGUUGUGAGGGGUUAGAUACCCUAAUUAGGGUUUAGAAAACCCUAGUCUUGGAUAUAUAUGGGCCUUAGACUUAUCGGGCCCCAUAUUAGGGCCAUUGGAAUGGAAUUGUGUACUAAGCCCAAUCACACCAUAUGAUUUAUUUAGAAGAGUGAUGGACUUAAUGGAUUAAGUCUUUAAUGGGUUAAGUGAGAAACACUUAACCCUAAUCGUUAUUUUAUGUGAAACCCUAAUUUCACUUGGCUUUUUGUUGGGCCUUUCUGUUGGGCUUUGGUGUUUGAGCUAAUAAUGGGCCAUCUAAGAUCAACUAAUGGACUGGAAUAUUUAGAUAGGCUUUAGAGGAAGGCCCAUAUGAGGGUGUGGGCCCAAUUUGGAAAAUUGGGCCAUAGAUGCGCCAUAAUUUGGGCCUUAAUAGUUAUAUGAUAAUGGGCCAUUAGAAAUGCCAAAUGUUUGGACUGGACUAAGUAGUUGGGCCUUUAAUUAUGACCAUUUAAAGGUUUGGGCCCAAUUUGGAAAACUGGGCCAUAUAAUGGGUUGUGACUCAUAGUUGACUGUUAGGCCUUUGGAUUGGGCCUUGGGAUCGGAUCAAACUAAGAUUGGGGUAAAGUAGUCUUUUACCCCAAGCAUAGACUUAUGGUCAUGCAUUAGAACCCAAUUAUUAAUUAGGUGUUAUUUUGAUGUUAUCCAGUAGCUAGGGUUUUGUUAGUGGGGCUUCAGCAGUUUGAGGUGAGUUUUCCUCCGGUAGGAACGGGUCUAAGGCACCAAUGCCAGCCCAUCUAGGUUGUUGCAUUAUGUCGGGGUAAGCUCGAUGCAGUUUAUAUGUUUCCAGACUUUGGUUUGAUGUCGGGGUGGUACCGAGAAGUAGUUAUGUAUGCUUGAUGUCUUCCUUAUUCAUGCAUGUUUAUGAUAUUUGUUAUAUGUUCCGGACCCCGGUCCGAUACCGGACAAGCCCGAUACAGUAUAUGUUAUUAUGUUAUAUGUUCAUGUUUAUGUUAUCUUCAGUUUAUUUCGGACUCCGGUCCGAUGCCGAGUGGGGACCAAUGCAGUGGGCGGGGCCCAAGUUAUUCCAAACUCCGGUCCGAUGCUAGGCAGGGCCUAAUUUUUUCCGGACUUCGGUCUGAUGCCAGGCGGGGCCCGAUGCAGUGGGUGGGGCCUAAUUUAUGCCGUACUUCAGUCUGAUGCCGAGCAGGGUCCGAUGCAGUGGGCAAGGCCCAAUAUGUGUUCUAUAUAUGUUAUUGUACGGUAUGUGGUAGUUUGGGGGAGCUCACUAAGCUUCGUGCUUAUAGUUUUCAGUUUUGGUUUCAGGUACUUCCACUAGCAAAGGGAAGGGCUCGGGAAGAUCGCAUGGCACACACCACAGUCAUAGCCUGGGAGUUUACUCUGAUGUUUUGUUAUGAGAUUAUUAUUUGAGACAGAUACUAUGAUGUUUUAUGAUACAUGAUUUAUGAUUUUACUUAUGACUUUGGAUGGUUUAUGAUUUCAAUAAUGAUUUGAAAACGAAAUUUUUGGGUCAUAUUUUUGGGAUGUUUCAAGUUGGUACCGGAGCCAUGGUUUGAGGGAUUCAGGCACACUUUCGGGUGUGUCUGAACUCAAACUAAGGAAGUGGUAUACAAUUUUCAAAAGAAAAACCAUGUUUAUAAAAGGGUUUUGAGAAAAGAAAAGGGUUUUAGAAAAAGCAAAAAGAUUUUUGAAAAAGAGAAAAGGGUGUGGUGCAUGCAAUCUACCGAGCUCAAGUAAGUACUCCCAAAUUACCCAUACAAGUUUAUGUUAUGAUAUGAUUAUCAGCUUUAUGAGAACAACAUGCUAGUUUAGGGCUAAGGAUUUAGGAAGGAUGCCAUAUGUGCCUGUUAUAUGUAUCUCAACUUUAUGAACUGCAUGCUAGUACAAAUUAGUUAGGGAUAUCCUGAAAGAGAUAUGCUUGAUUAUGUUUACUCGAUGCUCGAAUGCUGCUUGGUUUGUGCUUUUAGGAGUCUUAGUUAUCUUUUACUAAAUAGUAAAUGAAUAUUCUAUGUUACAUAUUACGAGGAUUAAAUAAUUUUAGAAGGUUAGGUCUAGCUCUAUUGUGCAGCUCUUGUCUGAGUCCAACCGUUGUAGGGUAGGAUCUCUCAUUCGAAGAAUUCUUUAGUCUUAGUGAUAUGUAAUACUAUUCACGAGCUAGUUAAGAGGUGGUAGCAGAGACUUUUUAUGCAGAUGAUAGCGGAGAGUGGGUAGGAAAAGUUUAGUAUGAGAUCAGAAGUAGUAGUAGAAGGGACUUGGUGGAGUCAAGGCAGUUCUUAAGGAAAGUACGAAUAAAUGUGGAAGGUAGUAUGGGCCCGUAAUACUGAAAGCAAAGGAUCCGUACUCGAAUCAAGGAAGGUUAUGAUGAACCCAUGGAACUUGUAGUGUGUGAGAUCCCUCUAGUUAUGAUGAGUACUAUGAAGAUUGUGUUGGUAUGUUUUCGAGUUUAGCGACGCUAUAUGAUAGACCAGAUGGUAGUUUUGGUGCCGACGAGGGAUCAGACUCGGACGUUGGAGCCUGGAAACUUGAUGGUCAGAUGAGGUAGCUCAUUCCAUAUGAUAGUACGUGCAAUAUCAUUGGCUAGACUCCUAUGAUCUUCAGUAUGAUCAAGGAGGGCAUUUUAGAGAUUUGUGACGAAAGGAUGAGUGCAUUCUACACUGAGAUAGCGGCUAGGAUAGGGAUGCGUACGUUGAUGAUUCUGGAUUUCAGAGCUUGAGAAGCUCCAGAUUAUCAUAGGGGUUAGGGAUCCCAUUACUAGCAGCAGAUGGUUGGCAGAUGCCGCCAACGCUUCUCAUAUCAGUUGUUGCCCGAAGGGGACAAGAUCCGACUUACUUCCUGUCUCAUGUAGGACAAAGCAUGUGAUUGAUGAAAAGAGAUUAGUAGUGAGUUGGGUGAUGUUGUAGUUGAUGUUAUGUCAUGGGAUGAGCUUUCGACCAGAUAAAGGGGCGGAGUUUGCCCAGUUGAUUGAGGCACAAUAGUUGGCACAAGAGUGGUUAGAUCUCCACCAGACGACCGAGACUGUGGCAGAGAUAACUACAAAGUCUCAGGAAAGAGCUUAUUUGGUACCACAGUAUGUAGAAAAUGAGGAAAUGAAGAAGUUGAGGUAAUAGGACAUACUCCAAAUGAUAGCAGGGAGAUUGUGAGUAACUCGAGGUGCGAGACCCUCAUUGAGAUGACUUCUAGAGCACGAGAGUGACAUAUUGACUUGGAGCACAUUGUGAAAAGGGAACCAAAUCAGUUGUUUAGAUAGAAGGGUCUCGGGAGGACACCCAAGAUUUUAGAUCAACUUUUGAGAGGCCUGUAGGGCCAGAAAUAGUGCAAUAAUGGCAGGAUAGGGAGAGUACAAUGUCAUAUUGGUUUAUCCUAAGACUGAGGAGCAACAUGAGGAGCAUCUGAGGGAGGUGCUAGAGACUCUGAAGAGGGAGAGACUUUUUGCAAAGUUCUCCUAAUGUGAGUUCCGGUUGCGCGAGGUGCAAUUUCUUCGAAACCUUAUUAACCAUAACGGUAUACUAGUCCAUCUAGCUAAGAUAGAGGUCGUGAUGCAAUGGGAGAUUCUGAAGUCUCCAACUAAGAUUCGGAGUUUCCUGGCUUAGCAGGUUGUUACCGAAGAUUUAUUCGGGAAUUUUCCAAGAUUGCAGUUCUUUUGAGCCGACUGACCAAGAAGUCAGUGGCCUUUCGCUGGGGGCUUGAGCAGCAGACAGCUUUCGAGACUCUCAGACAACGGUUGUGCGAGACCCCAGAUUUCACCCUACCAGAGAGUGUAGAUGAUUUCGUAAGUUAUUGUGACGCUUCUAUCACGGGCAUGGGUGUAAUACUGAUGCAGUGGGGUCAUGUGAUAGCAGACCUUAGGGAAUCAGGUUGGGGAUUCCAGUCAGGACAUGGGUUCAGUUGAGUGUAGGUCAAGCGCGUAUUCGUCCCAUUAUGGAAAAUGUUGUAAGUCUACGGGUGUAACCGUAGCAUUCACUAGCAUCCAGAUAGUGUUAGAGUGUUCUAAGACUGCGGGUGUAGACGUAGCAUUCACUAGCUUUCGUUGAUAGCAUGAGAGCGUUGUUAGGACGCGGAAGGAGUAGUGGCACCCACCAGUUCGGGUGCAGUAGUGAGGGCGUGGCAAAUCCGUAGAUUGGUUUAUGGAUUUCCCUAGAUGAAUUAGACGUGUUUGAGCCAUUGAUAAGACCAUAGGAACGCCACUACAAUUAUGAGAUCGGGGAAGCAACUAACUGCUUAGGGCCGUUUGUGAUAUAAGGCUACCUUAGAUUAUGUAGCAAUCACUUUUAGCAGUGGAUUUGAUGACGACAGGGUUCGACGCAUGGACCCGAUCGGUUAGAUAAGAAGGUUGUUAGAGCCAUAAAGGAAUGAUAACUAGUGGCAACUAGUUCCAAAGAAGGAUUAUGUUCACAAGUCGUGUGAGACGACUAAGUGGGAGUCCUUUGGCUUCGCAGCCGGGUUGGAACCCGGUAUUUCAGAUGAUUGGCGAGCGAAUUGAGACCUAGGAGGUCUAGGUAGCUUUUGGGAAGUGGCCAUGUGGUAAAAUAUUGCUUCAGUUAGUUCACUGUUCGGGCAGUUUCAGCGUUUGGGCAGUGUUAGUAUUUGUGUUUUAGGUUGCAAGUACGGACGUAAUAGCUGGUUAAUUGGGAAGUGACAAGCCACUCAUAGUGGGAUUAGUUGAGCCUUGGGCAAGUAUAAGUGAUCUGCAGGGAUAAUUUGGUUUGUGAUCAUGUUUUAUAGUGGGGAAUCUCAAGCUAUUAGAAUUUGAGUAGUACGUUGAGGGAUAAACGGACUGGAUUCAACGAUAAUGAUUCAGUAUGAGUCGUCUGUCAGGGAAUCAGACCAUCUCAAGGCAAAAGAUUUCAGACGGAGUAGAUGUGAUCUUGUUGCAAGGAAUUCGUUCACCUGCGGAUUUUAGGGCCUUGCAAAGCUUGUUCAUGGUUACUCUGGAAAGGCUCGGGUGUGCCCAAGAUUGUGGCCAUGUUACUUGAGUAGUUUAACAUGUGAGAAAUAUUAAGAAAUCAUUUCGAGGACAAAAUCUAAUUUAAGUGGGGGAGAGUUGUAACAUCCCGUUUAUUAAAUAAAUGAAUAAACAAAUUAAUGAAUGGAUAGUAGCCCUAAAAUUUAUAAUUAUAUAGCAAGGUGUUGGUCUCAAGGAGUUAACUGUCAUAAUUGUAGAAGGCGGGGAUUAAAGUGUAAAAUUCGAGAAUUAUUUUGUAAAGUUUUUUAGAAGAUAGGGGUGUUUGGUAUCAUGUGGACUUAAAUUGAAAAAGUUUUAUAGAGGAGGGGUCAUUUGGUAACAUAAGCACUUCACAUGCAAAUAAUUUGUAGCGGGAGGGACAGUUAGGUAAAUUUGGGAUUGGAUUUGAAAGGGAUUUUCGAGGUCAGGGUUUAAAUGGUAAAUAUGGGGUUUAUUUCGAAAUAAUUUCUGGAGGGAGGGGCUGAACUUGUCAUUAUGGAAAUAAGUUUGGGGAAUCAGGGUAUAUAAACAUGUCACCCCCGGUUCUAACCCUAAACCUAAAGAGAGUGGCAGCCGCCACCCUCCUUCUCCCCUCAUCGACGCCGCCUCCACCCCAUUCCGAUCAGCCAACAGCCAGAACAACCACCGGCGUCUCUUGCUGUCGGCAUUAUCGAAUACCGUUGGGAACCCGGAAGACGCCACAACAAAUGGAGAUCGGAGGGGCGAUGUCGAUGUCCAAGUUACCGUUCGAUGUUGUCGUUGUGGCCAAUUCCGACGAGAAGACGAGGCCGCUGAUAGUUGUCGCUACUGAAGAUGAGGACGAAGCGCCUCCUACUACCGUUUCUGUCGCACCUUCUCUCCGUUGUGCCGCUGUUGUUACCAAUGGUGUUGUUGUUGUCGUCGCAGCCUUAUCUCGUCACCACCAGCCACCAUAGAGGUGGCUGUGAGUUCGUGUGGGUGUGCUAUGCUUCAAGUUCGUGUGGUGUAUUGUUGCGUGAUUGGAAGCCAAAAGAUACCACCGCCACCACUGUGAGGUGGUGGCUGCCAUCAUAAAAUCAUUCAUGUCGCUGCCGUGAGCCACCAGGUGGAUGGCUUGAGUGUGUGUUGGGUGUUUUGUUUAGUCGGAGUUCACGGAAAAGCCACCACCACCACCACUGUGAGGUGGUGGCUGUCACCUCAUGCCACCGCCGACGACCAUUAGGGUGGUUGUACGUGUGUGUCUGUGUGUUUAGCAUUAUUAUGUGUUUUAUUUUGGAGAUUAGCAAUGUAAAAUGUAAUUAGAAAUGUGAAUAAUGAAAAGAAACUCUAACCACCACCGUGAGGUGGUGGCUGGCGCCACCAGCCGCCGUGUUGAGCGGCGGUGUGCUUUGAUUGCGUUUGGACCUUGUUUGAGAUGCCUGAAGCCCUAAUAGGCCUAGAGAAACCCUAAUUGGCUUAAGGAUUUAGGUUUUGAGCCUAAUUGGGUUGUGAGGGGUUAGAAACCCUAAUUAGGGUUUAGAAAACCCUAAUUUUCGAUAUAUGGGCCUUAUACUUAUCGGGACCCACAUUUGGUCCAUUGGAAUGGAAUUGUGUACUAAGCCCAAUCACACCAUAUGAUUUAUUUAGAAGAGUGAUUGACUUAAUGGAUUAAGUCCUUAAUGGGUUAAGUGAGAAACACUUAACCCUAAUCGUCAUUUUAUGUGAAACCCUAAUUUCACUUGGCUUUAUGUUAGGCCUUUCUAUUGGGCUUUGGUGUUUGAGCUGAUAAUAGGCCAUCCAAGAUCAAUUAGUGGUCUAUUUAUCUCAAGGUCAUUCCAAGUUUCAUUGGUGUUGUGUGAGACAUUUGAGGCAUCACACUUUAGGUGCUAGGCUGACAAGGCUCUCAAGGAAUCCAAGCAACUAAAGAUAUGUAUUUCUUACUAUCUUUUAUGUUUAAAAGUUCCCCAUGUAUGCUAUAUAGGUUAAGAAACUAGGAAAACCAAUUUUGCAUGUAUCAUAGUAAAACAUUGAUCCAAGGUUUCUAGGGUUGAAUGUACACCUUAGGAGUGUUAGAAUGCUCAAAAUCCAACAGUGGUAUCAGAGUGUAGCCUUGUUUGCUUGAUAGUUGAUGCAAAAUUGUGAAAAAAGCUAAAAAUCUUGCUUUCUGGAUAGCAGACUCGUCUAGUCCAUGGGGGGACUCGACGAGUCCAAGUACAAACUCAUCGUACUCGUCGAGCAGGUUCCUGCACUCGACGAGUAGGUGCCCCAGAAUGUAGUUUUUCGACUUUUGCUGCUGGAAAUGUACUAGAAACAUUACGCUAAAAGUAUUAAUGAUAAAUAUAAAGUAACUAAAUGUUUUAUAAAUUCCCAAUCUUAGUUACUUUAGGAAAAUUUGAAUAAGGUGCCAACCCAUGAAAUUACACUUUGCACUUUGCUUAAGUCAGUUAGUGGAGCGCAUGUGGUUAACCGGCACAUCGAUUGAGGGGUAAACAUUAAGGGUACCAAGUAAUUUGCAUGGUUAAUUCACGCCUNNNNNNNNNNNNNGCAUUCCAGUCACAAAACCUGAAGGGCACAUACGAGAUUGAAACAUGCCAUUGAAAUUUCAAUUAAUAUCAAAAUAUCUAGAAGUUUCGAAUCCAAUUAAAACCUAAUAAUUUAUUUCAUUUGUCAUGGAAGAAAUUGGUGAAUCGUCAUUCACCUACCUUCAAAUAUUUUAUAGCUUGGAUUACGACAUCCCUUUUCCAAGUUAUAAAAUAUUGUGUUGGGUCCUAGCCUUAAUAUUUCAUAUUGGGUGUUAUAUUAAGGACUUUAAAUCAACUAUCUUAAAUAUCUCUCAAAAGAUGUUUGGAUCAGACAACUAUGAUCUUCCCAAAACUCUUGGAAUAAGCCAUCCUAAUGAAGAUGAUGUCCUGUGACUGGAUCAUGGAAAUCAUGCUUCAGUUCCUUCACCUCCUCCAAUCAUUAUCUCUAACCCACAAGUUCAUGGUCAGUCAAUUCCUAUUGGCAAGAAAGGUCUAUGUGUGUUCACAUCUUGGAGAUGAAGCCACAUAUUGACAAGCCCGGAGAGUUGGGUGUCAAAGUCUUGAGAAAGUUGGUUGUUCAAUCACUUUCUAAGUCACAUAGUGAGUGUCCUUUGGGACUAUGUAACAGCGUAAAUUUUCAAAACAAUUUUUUCAUUUUUAAAUCAUAUUUUCAAUCAUCAAAACAAUAUCAAACAAACUGUAUCCAAUGUCAUCAUAACAAAAAAAUCCCAGAAUCUCAAAACAUAAUCUCUAUGAGUAUGUAAGGAUCAUGUCGGCGCCUUCCCGCGAUCCUCGCUAGUACCUGAAACACAUAAGACAACAACUGUAAGCAUAAAUGCUUAGUGAGUUCCACAAAAUACCACAUACAAAACACACACCUUUCCAGGCCAUCUCUCUAUGGGAUCUUCGAUCCAAGUGUUUCAGGGGACUUCCGCCCCGAAUCCUGGUAGACCUUUCGGUCCUAUCCGUAUCGACCUUCCGGUCCGUAGGAUAUUGACCUUCCGGUCCACAUCAUCUUGACCUUCUGGUCCUUAUCAUACAUAACAUACAUAACACAUACAUAUCACAUAACAACAUACAACUCAUACAUCUCAUAGCAUAUAAGACCUUCCGGUCACACAUAGGUACCCUUCCAGGUACAGUAUAGUGAGAAGACUCACCUCAAUGAAGUUGGAUAAACUCUCGAGCUCAACAUCCUGACCUAGCCUCCUCCUAUCAUUUAAAUAACAUCCCCGAUCCAUAUCCUCUCAUAGUCUCGUCUCUAAAGAUUGGGUAGAAGGUCAUUCUACCCUUCUCUGAACUCUCUUGAAUCAGUCUUGACCAGAACCCUAAGGUCAACAAAAGUCAACAGUCAAACUUUGACCCGACUCGUCGAAUGCACACGGGCGACUCGGCGAGUCCAUGUAGGUCCUCUGAAUCCUUCUAGCCUCUCUUGGCUCGUCAAGUCAUCCUUCCACUCGACGGGUUCCUCCUGUCACGAAUCCCAGGGCAACCCCGACUCGACUCGUCGAGUCCACUUAUGAACUCGGCGAGUUGCUUCCAUGUUCAUACUCAAAUGACCUUCUAAGGUUAGAUCUGCUUCUCAAGCAUGAUAAUCAUGUAAAGGUCGAAUGUUGAUACACAUGCAACACACCCAAAGCUUCUUUUGGUGAAAUAACCGCUAAAAUGGCCUCUUAGGCUCAUAACUCAAAAGGUAUGGCAUAAAGCAAAGUGGUAAGGACUCUCAGGACCUCUUAAGGUCCAGGUCUAUGAACCAACUCGCCUUGGGACCUCACAUACUCCAGAUUCAACUAAAAGAGGCAUAAAGAAAACCCUAUAUUUCACUAGAAUCAUAAUAAACAUGAGAAUGGCACAGAUUGUUACCUCCAACAGCUUCCUCUGAUCAAACAGAAGUGGAUCCAAGCUCCUCAACCGGCCUAGCUUGUUCUACCUCCUUCCUUCUUGCUAAAACACACAUGAAAUGGUGAAUUAGCCUUCCUAUUGCACCACAAACGAUUUCUAUGCUCUCAAUGGUUUCUCAGGGGUGAAGUGGCCGCAAAUGGAGGCCAUAAAGGCCUUUAAAUAGGGCACAGACCCCGAGAAUUAGGGAUUCAAUCCUUAACGCGGACUCAUCGAGUCCAUCCUUUCCGACUCGUCGAGUCCGUUCAUUAAUCCAGUCAGCAAUCGCGGUCCUACUCAAUGAGUCUACGCCUCAACUCGUCAAUUCCCUUUCUUUUACUCAAAAAAAAAUAAUAAAAGAUCAAACAUAGUACCUGGAAAUCCGGAUGUUACAAUUCUCCCCCACUAGAAUCAAACUUUGCCCUCGAAGUCUUGCUCUAUAAAAAACUCUGGAUGCUGCUCCCGCAUCUCCAAUUCCGGCUCCCAAGUCAACUCGGACCCUCUCCGAUGUUGCCAUUGAACCUAAACCAGGGACACCUCCUUGUUUCUCAGAAACUUGAUCUUCCGAUCCCAGAUCGCGAUUGGCCUCUCAACAUAAUUCAAGCUCACAUCCACCUGAAUAUCCUCUAGCGGCACCACCACCAACUCGUCGGCUAUACGUUUCCUCAACUGAGACAGGUGGAAGGUAUCAUGAAUCUGGCUCAACUCUGCAUGUAGCUCCAACUGAUAAUCUACCUUGAACGACCCAAUAUACCGGGCCCCUUGCUUGCCCUUCUUCCUGAAUCGAAUCACUCCUUUCCAAGGUGACACUUUCAAGAGUACGAACUCUCCCACCUGGAACUCAAGCUCGAAUUGUCGCCUAUCCGCAUAACUCUUCAGGCGACUCUGAGCCGUCAACAACCUCUGUCUAACCUGUUGUACCUACUCGGUCGUCCAGAGCACUAUCUCAGUGCUGCCAAUCACGCACUGCCCUACCUCUCCCCAACAAAUGGGAGUCCGACAUCUCCUCUCGUACAACAACUCGAAGGGAGGGAUACCAAUACUCGAAUGGUGGUUGUUGUUAUAAGAAAACUCAUCCAACGGUAGAUACGUGUCCCAACUUCCCCCGAAGUCCAACACACAUGCUUGGAGCAUGUCCUCGAGUGUCUGAAUCGACCGCUCACUCUGUCCGUCCGUCUGCGGGUGGUAAGCAGUACUUAAAUAUAGCCUCGUUCCUAACUGCUCAUGGAAUUUCUUCCAGAAUCUAGAAGUGAAACGCACAUCUCGAUCCGACACAAUCGAGAUCAGUACUCCAUGCCGUGAUACCACCUCCCUCACAUACAACUCUGCUAAUCUCUCUACAGAAGAUCUCUCACUGAUAGCAAGGAUGUGAGCGCUCUUCGUCAGCCGGUCGACAAUCACCCAAAUCGCAUCGACGCCCCUCGUGGUCCUUGGUAAUUUGGUGAUAAAAUCCAUGGAAAUUUGUUGCCACUUCCGCUGGGGAACCUCAAGUGGUUAAUGUUGGAUAAGGUGUCUAAGUCCAUAACUAUUUCGGGCUUGUACUUGACCCGACCCGACAUGGUCCAUUUGGGUUGCAUGGCACCAUGCAAUUGGAUAGACUAAAUGAGAGAAAUAACACUUGGAGAUUAUUAAUAUAUUAUAAGUUCUAAUAUAUUAAUAAUAUUAUUUGAUUAGUUUGAUCAAGAAUUAAUUUGGAAUUAAUUAAGUGAUCAAAGGAUAACUAAUUAAAUAUAUGGGUUCAUCCAUAUCUUGUAUAGUGGGCUAAGAGGCUCCAUGGAUUAUCAAGUUGGGUUCUACCCAUAGGAUGCUCCAUGGAUGCUCCAUGGGAGUUACAAACCCAUGGGUCAUGGAAAUGAAGAGUCAUGACACAUUAGGGUUUACAUGGUGUAACCCUAGAUGUGUCAACACU
rnacentral:lncRNA from 1 species